rnacentral:lncRNA from 1 species
AUAUAUAUUACCUACAUUAGUAAAACUAGUUAUUGAUCUUUCUUGCAGCAGUAUCUUUGUUUGAAGUUCGAAAAUAGAUUAGCUAUUUCAAUUCAUGUAUAUGUUGCUUAUAAGUUUGAUAUCUCUCUAGGCACGAAAUUGUAGGAGUUGUCCAAGAGGUCGGUUCAGAUGUUGAACGCUUCAAAGUUGGUGAUCAAGUUGGAGUUGGAACUUACGUUGACUCGUGCAGAGAAUGCGAGUAUUGUAAUGUUUUUCGAGAGGUCUAUUGUGUGAGACCCGCGACAUUUACUUAUAACAGGCCCGACUCGGAUGGCACCAUCACUAAAGGUGGAUUUUCCAGCUACAUAGUGGUCCGCGAGAGGCAAGUAACUUCCCAUGAGCUAUAUAUGUACUUUCUCUGAGGUAUUUUUAUAGUAUCUUGAUGAUACGAGCACCUGUGUAAGCAAAUAUGAAAAAUAGUAAUCAAAAUUAGAAGUUCAUAAACAAUCUUUAACUUCUCUGGGAUGAUGCUGUUCAUCUUCUAUUUGUUAUUUAUUUUUUUAGAACUAAUUGUUCUAUCUACACAUAAUUUGCUACCAGAACUUGAUAAAUUCAUAGUAUCUAUUUGCAAACAUUUUGAUAAUGUGCUUUUUUUUGUCCUGUUACAGGUUUGUUUACAAGAUACCUGAUGGGUACCCAUUAGACAAGGCGGCGUCAUUGUUAUGUGCGGGAAUUACAGUGUACGCACCGAUGAUGCGCCAUAAAAUGAACCAACCUGGCAAAUCUCUUGGGGUGAUCGGGCUCGGUGGGUUGGGUCAUAUGGCUGUUAAGUUUGGAAAGGCUUUCGGAUUGAAAGUAACUGUUUUAAGUACAAGUGACUCUAAGAGGGAGGAAGCCAUUAAAGUUCUUAAAGUGGAUGAAUUUGUGGUAUCAUCAGAUAAGCAGCAGAUGGAGGUGAUUUUUCUCUUAAAUAUUUUCUUAGAAUUAAACUCUUUUCGUGGUUAACUCCAUGAUUUAGUUGCUUUAACUGCAAGUUUGUAUGAAAUUGUUUGAUGUUCCAAACUUCUAAUUACUUCAUUACUUUGUAGUCUCUGACAAAGUCCUUGGACUUCAUUGUCGAUACUGCUUCCGGUGACCACCCAUUCGAUCCCUAUCUUUAACUCCUGAAGAUCGAUGGUGUUAUGGUCUUGGUGGGCUUUCCUAAUGAAAUCCGAAUCAGUCCCCUGAGCCUCAAUUCCGGUAUUUCUUUUUCUUUCCCUUUUAUAAUUACGAUAAUAUCUCAAAAACCAUCCUAAACUUCAUGUACACGUAAAUCAUGUUUAAUUUUUUUUCUUUUGUUUUUUUUUGGUAGGUGCGAGAUCUCUUGCGGGGAGUGUGGCGGGUGGUACCAAGGAAACACAAGAGAUGAUAGACUUUUGUGCAGCAAAUAAAGUGUACCCAGAAAUCGAGCUCAUUAAUAUUGACUACAUCAAUGAGGCUCUUGACAGGCUUACUAAGAAUGACGUCAAGUAUCGUUUUGUUAUCGACAUUGCGAAAUCUCUCGAGUGAUGAUGCUAAGUCUAUAUGUACCCACAUAGCUGAUUAUUUGUGCUUGUUAAGAGAGUGUAAAUUGUUAUUUUGAUUGCAUUGCAAACUUCUAUUCCCUAUUAAUAUAAAUUUUUGAUGUCUUUUUUAUGAGUUUAAGUCAAAUUUGUGUUUGAAUGAUCUUUGAUUGUGUUAUGUUAUGUUCAAAUGCAGUAGGAGUGGAGUUUUAAAGCUCGAAUCUAAUUAUAGAUAUGCGAAUACCUUUUGUAAUGAAUUGUGUUAUACUCACUUAUUUUAUAGCUAUAUGCUAAUCUUGUACUAACAGGAAUGCCAUUUGAAUGAAGAACAAUUAUAGAAGUAAGGAAGUUCUUGAUUGGAAUUUACAGUGGAUCUGAAAUGGGAUCAAUCGCAGAUGACUAGAAGGUUAUCUGUUGUUUUCCGGAUCAAUGCAAUCAGGUAUGACGGCGGGUAAGGUCAGUUACUCAAAUGCUUUAGUAGUUAAGUUAGUUAAUGUGGCAAAAUUUGAUCUGUAUAUUUCCAAACAAUAUUUUGUAGGAAAAGUUGCAUGAUUUUCCAAUUAAUAGGUAAGUUGCACUUCAAUUUUGUUUGUUCAUUUUUUUUCUUUUGUUUUUUUAAUGAACAAUUGAAUUAUUUAUCCGUUCUCCCUCGGCUCAUUAAGUUAAACAUGCGUUAUAUUUGGUACUUCAGUUAUCUUUUUGAUAAACAGAACUAAUGAAUUAAUGAAGUUCAACCAUUAUUGUUGGAAUUGAACUAAAACUGCUGCAGCUAAUUACGGUACUCAUGCGGAGUAUGUUGUGUAAUAUUGAGUAUUCAAGUUCCAUUGACUAUGUUGAUCCCGUCCGAAUCAUUCCAAGCCAUAACUCCAGUUAAUGAUGGUUCAAUCUUUAAGAGCCAUUAGAGGUUUAUAAUAAACCAUUUAGCAGAAAAGGAUUCGUUAGUUAGCGUAAACAAAAAGAACUGUAGUAUAAGAUCAUCUGAUACUUCUAGUGGAUAAAAGGGUUGAUUGCAAUCUGAUACUAUACUCCACUUUAGAUGUUUAGUAUUAGUAGUGUUUGCAUCGUCAUCAUCAUCAUAACAAACUACUUAUUCUACUGCAUCUGAUCCAUUCAUAGUUGGCAACUUGGCAUACCAAACAGUGAGUAACCUAUCGAAAGGAACCAAUGCUUUGUCCAUCAUUCUACUUGUCCUUUAUAUCCUUCUCUAUUCCUCUACACCCUUUUUAAGUGACCGAAAAAGGGUUCCUCUGUAAUUGUUCAAUGAGUCGAAACUCCACCUGAGCACCAUAUUUUGUUAUUACUCUAUGCAAACAACUUUUAUGUUCCAUCUAAUAAAAGCAGUGAGAAAGAAACCAAUGUCCAGCUGUUGCCGAGAUGAGCUUUCUUAAGGCCUCUGCCCCCUACACUGGAAUGAUCACCAUUCAAUUAGUCUAUGGUGGUUCAAACAUUCUUAGCAAGAUAGCCUUGGAGCAUGGGAUGAGUUUUCUAGUGUUCGUCGUGUAUCGGCAUAUCAUUGCGACGGCCAUCUUAUCUCCUCUUGCGUAUUUCCUUGAAAGGUUUUCGCCACCAUCUGUGUCCUUUUUGGCCAUGUGGCCAUGUUGGAACUUCUGUCAAAAUGCUAUUUGAGUAGAGUUGCUUAAAAAAGUGGCAAUAACUUUUUUUUUCUCAUUUUUAUUUGAAAAUUCCUCCAUAAGUGUUCAUUUCAGCUUUUUGCCAAUGCAAAAACUCUAGAUUUUCUUAGCUGCUGCUUUUCGGAGUAGAGAAAAUAUUCUAAAAAAACAGGUCAAACCGGCUGCUAACGCAUAUUACGAGUUCUAUCAUCACUCCAUUCUCAAGAAAAUAUAACCCUUUAAUGCAGGAACGAGCGGCCUUCGCUCUCAAUCCCCAUACUUAUGAAAAUCUUCAUUCUCGCACUGUUUGGGAUUACAGUACAUCAAAAUGUCUACUACGCAGGGCUGGAUCACACAUCACCGAUGGUGGCGAGCGCCUUGAGCAAUGUCAUUCCGGCUCUCACUUUCCUUCUCGCAGUCCUCUUGAGGUUAGAGUCCCCUAACAUUCUCCAAACUAUAAAUUUUCGUGCGCAUUUCUAAUAUCAAAAGCCUUAUUUUCUCUUUUUGUUUUCGCGAGGAUGGAGAAGGUGAGAAUAAGAAGUGCAACAGGAGGGGCCAAGUUGAUAGGCACCAUAUUUUGUAUUAGUGGGGCUUUAGUUUUUACAUUUUGGAAAGGGCCUUUAUUUAGGGGCUUUGUUAAGAGACCUCUAAUUGUUGUGCAUGACCAUGGAAAGGUGCAUGGUAAAGAGAAUUGGAUCCAAGGUUCUCUUCUUAUUCUAGCCAGCCAUAUUGCUUUUAGUGUCUGGCUCAUCCUUCAGGUAAUAGAAAAGCUCUUUUCUGCUGCUUUUUUUGAUCUAAAAUUUUGAGACGAGCGAAUGAUUUUGCAGGCGAAGGUGUACGAGGUCUAUCCCGCAAGAUUGUCAAUGAACGCCUUGAUUUGCUUCUGCGCAUCAUUUCAAUCGCUGCUGCUCGCCCUAAUCUUCGAGAAGAACACAUCAUCUUGGCAAUUGGGCUGGAACAUGCAGCUAGUAACCAUCAUCUACUGUGUUAGUCCCUCUCAUUCCUAUGAGUAUUAGAUUAUAUCUUUCACUAUUAGCUAGUAUUGAUAUUUUAUGUACAGGGGACAGUGAUAUCCUGCCUCUCAUACUACCUGCUAACAUAUUGUAUUAGUGAGAGGGGCCCUGUUUUUGCUGCCAUGUUCACUCCCCUGCUUCUUGUCAUUGUUGGAAUAUUCUCGGCCGCGUUCUUCGCCGAACGACUUCAUGUAGGCAGGUGAGCAAUCAAAUUUAGUUCAUUUCCUUUAUGUUUCCACAUUCCCUUGAUAUUAUGGUUUCAAGUGCACAUGCUAUCUUAACUAAGAUUAGACGAUACGAGCUAACGAUAACCUGCGAGCGUAUGCUCUGAUAACAGCUGCAGUCCUAAUAAGAUCCUCUCAUAGAUCUUGGCAUCUGUAUUAAUACUUUAGAACUACUGCUUGCAAUGAUACUAGUAAUUAAACUGGAAUUUUUGCUGCUGUAAAUGUUUUGUAGCUUGAUUGGGGCCUUCAUCAUAAUCGCGGGACUGUACUGCGUGUUAUGGGGUAAAAGUAGGGAGUGCGGCAAGAAUGGCGAUAAAAGGCGCGAUGUCGAGAGUACAACAGUCACAGCUGUUCUCCCAGUAUCAACAUCAAACAAUGAUACACAGCUUACACCACAAGAGGGGACAAUUUGAUUACUUUUUGUAUUGAAGGAUCAUAGACAAUCUAUAAGUUACAGUUUUUAGUUUCUAACAUAAUUUUGCAUUUAAAGAUGAACUUAAGCAGCUUGUUGAGAUUAAUUAAUGCCAUUCAUGUAGAAAUUAAUAAGAUGCUUUAUAGCAUACACUUCUAUUGUUGGUGGAGAGUAAUGGUUAAUAAUGAUUAGGUACCUUUUUUAUCUCUCUAAUUUUUCUUUAUAGAAUAUGAUUGGGAAUGUUGAUUGUACUGUUUUCAUUUUCAUUUGUUUACACAAAGAUCUAGUUCUAUAGUGAAAUAUUGCAAUAUUGGUAUCAAAAUAAAUUUAAAAUUUAUUAGUGGGACAACUUGGUUCUCCUAGGUGGAGCUUUUGUAAAAUGAUAUACUAUUUUGGCUAGCACCAGAAAUUAAAAAUAAUUUAACACGCUUCGUGCAUAGAAUGUAGAUACACAUUUUGUAUUUUAAUUUCUACCAUCCACGUAGUGUCAAUAGAUAUGAAACAAAGGGUAGAUAACGGAGUGGAUUGUCCAUUUAUAUUAGGUAAUAACGUAUUUAAACUAUAGACCAUUUUGAGUCGACUAUUAAAUUUUUCAAAAUUUUAAUUUCAUCACUCUACGUUUAUUUGAUUUGAGUUCGUCAAAGUCAAUUUGAUUAUAAAAUUUAAAGCGAUUGUUUAUAGUUGCAAGAAUUAUAUAAAAAAAUUUUACUAAACGCGUAAAGAGAAACAACCCAUAAAUUUUAAAACUGAAGUGUCGUUUGCUGAUACAAAUCAAAUAAAUUAAUUGGUUGGAAGGUAAAAUCAAACUUUGAAAAAGUUGAAUAAUUGACUCAAAAUAAUCUAUAUUCCAUACAAUUUCUGAAUAUUUUGUUAUCUUUACAUUAUUUGAAAUAUUAUAAAAUUUAUUCAUAUUAUUUUAUUCUUUCAAAAAAAAGGAAAAAAAAAUACAGCUUACAAACACACACUUCAUGUGUGCAACACCAACAUAUCCAACUCACUCACUACAUAUUUAUCAUGCAUUAAUCAUGCAUUAAUCAUUUUGUUCUCCUUUGUGGCUUAACACUAAUCCCUACUUCCUUUCUCUUUCAUGUUCAUGCUCACACUCCUCUUCGUCUUCAUCAUCAUCAUCACCAUGCAAACUCUCCGACACGACCUCGAUGUGUAUCCCGGGAUCCUCCGCCGCGCAGCUCCCGCCGACGAGCACGGAGUUGUUCACCGCCUGGUAGUUGCUGUUGGCGUACGCGCGCACCGCGCCGUCGUCGCCGUCCUCGCACACCUCCCCCUGCGUAUCCUGAUCCUUGUGGCUGCAGUAUUGAUUCUCUAGCGCCUGCAGCUUCUUCAUCGUGGCGCCUUUGUUGUCCCCCGCGAUGGUUAUGAUCCUCACGCCCUUCUCGGAGGCGGCAUCCCCGACGUCGAAGGCCGAGAGGCGGUCGGUGAGCUGCGAGAUCGUGUCGUGGACCUCGCGGUCGAGUUUGCGGGCUUCGGCGUCGGAAGAAGCCAUUGUUUGCGCAGGGAGGUUGAGGAGAAGAGGGUGUGGAUCGAGGUGGAUUUACAUACAUAAAUGGAAUGUAUAUAUAUAUAUAUAUAUAUAUAUAUAUAUAUAUAUAUAUAUAUACAUAUGCAUGUGGUUCUUUACUUGGUGAUUAUGUGCAAGUAUAGUAAGAUUGAGUAAUGGAGUGAAUUAAGUAAUUCCAUUAACAAGGUUAGAGGAAAAGGAUAACUUGCACUGUGAGGGCUCCUUUUUUUUUUAUAUAUAAACGCCUGUUUGGUCCCACUUUUGCUUCUACUUUCAGCUACAGUUAUUUAUGAUAUAAUAUUAAAUAAAUAAUAAAAUUUAGAGAUUCUAUUAUAACUGAAAAUUAAAUUAAGAUGUGGAGUCUCCAAAAGUAAAAAUUUAAAAUUUGGAGUUUUCGUUUUUAGGUUUUUCUAAUACAACGCUGUAUUACUACUCAAACAAGAAAUUUUUUUUUUUUUUUUUUUUUAGAGAUAGAUAGUAUGCUACAUGCUUCGUUUAUUUCAUUUAGAAAUAAACUUAGCUAGAAAUGUGAAUCAACUAGAAUUUGAAUUUGGGACCUCGGGUACCAAGCAUCAAGCCCUUUGACAGAAUAAGUAUAUUAUAUCGAGUAAUAAUUUAGAUAUUUUAGCUCUCAUCUAUACCUCUAUACCCAUACAUUAUUUUUCAUAAAAUUCGCCACAUGACAAUUUUUCCUUCACCCCUUGCUUUCUCUCCCCUUGUCAUUCCCUGAUGCUUCGUCUUCCCACUCAUCGCUAUCCGAUGCUUCGUUUUCCCACUGGCUCACUUUUUAAUUAAUGCAUUUAUAUAGUCUAUUGUCAUCUAAACAAAUCGUUUUUACAAGAAAAGAGUAAAAUAAUAUUUCUUCAUACUCUUUUUCUUAUUGAUGUUUCAUGGAAGUCAAAAAAAUUUUAAAUUUUUUACUUCAUCAAUUUUUUGUCUUUUAUAAUAUUAGCCAGCCGCCAUGCGCGGUUAACUUCACUAGUAAUAUCAAAAUUGGCUCUAGAAAUAUUUCUUUUAAAAUAAAAAGUACAGAAGCCGGAUCACACACAAACUAUAAUUUUAUUAAGGACGAAUUAACAAAUAUUACACUUGGAAAUAAUUUGGAUAAACCAAACCAAUGUAACCGAAUUAAAAAAAUUCGAUUUGAUUUGGUUCCAAUUUUACAUACUAUAUAUCUGUUCAAUUUUGAGCCAUAAUGUCUCCUGCUGCACUAUUUAUUUGCCUGCUUGUUUGUGGUGUAUCCAUACAUCUUAUGUGUCAGAUACAAUAUUUUGGAAAUAUCUAUAAACUAUUAUGAAUCCCGUGCGAUUCAAGCUUACUCCUUAUUUUAGAAAAAAAGUGGGACCCACCUCUUCUGUAAAUGUACAAAAUAUAUUUCUUUAGUGGGGUCCACUAAAUAAUAAAGUUUAGCAUAAUAGGAAACAUUUGAACGUUAAUUGAGGAGCCCAUAAAUACUGGGUCUUUUCAAACGUUGCACUAAAAAAUAAUGUUUAGUGGAAUAAGAAAUAUUUGAAAGUUAAUUGACGAGCCCAUAAAUGCUAGGGUGUUUCUAUAUAUGUAACGUUUCACAUAAACACAAUUUUUUUUAAAAAAAAUAUACAAUAAUACAUGUCCAAUAAUUUAGGUAUUUGUUCUUAGGUGUCUUAAAAAAUUAAAUUUGUAUCGUCCGUGUAAUUAAUGCAAAGUCGGUUAUCUCCUCAAGAGACUUCUCGGUUUUUCCCAUCCGCCCCUCCAUCUCCUUCUCUCUCUAUUUUUUUUUUCUUUCGUUCACCUAUUCACGAAACCCACUAAAUAAUAAUGUUUAGCAUAAUAGAAAAUAUUUGGACGUUUAUUGAGGAGCCCAUAAAUGCUAAGUUGUUUCAAACAUUCGCAUUAAAUAAUAAUGUUUAGUGAAAUGAGAAAUAUUUGGAAGUUUAUUGAGGAGCCCAUAAAUAUUGGGUGAUUCUAUAUAUGUAACGUUUCACGUAAGAUAAUGUUUUUUUAAAAAAAUAUAUACAAUAAUAAGUGUCCAAUAAUUUAGGUAUUUGUUCUUAGGUAUUUUAAAAAAUUAAAUUUGUACGCUCCGUGUAAAUAAUGCAAAGUCGGUUGUCUACNAAAAAAUACAGCUUACAAACGCACUCUUUCAAGUGUGCAACACCAACAUAUCCAACUCACUCACUACAUAUUUAUCAUGCAUUAAUCAUGCAUUAAUCAUUUUGUUCUCCUUUGUGGCUUAACACUAAUCCCUACUUCCUUUCUCUUUCAUGUUCAUGCUCACACUCCUCUUCGUCUUCAUCAUCAUCAUCACCAUGCAAACUCUCCGACACGACCUCGAUGUGUAUCCCGGGAUCCUCCGCCGCGCAGCUCCCGCCGACGAGCACGGAGUUGUUCACCGCCUGGUAGUUGCUGUUGGCGUACGCGCGCACCGCGCCGUCGUCGCCGUCCUCGCACACCUCCCCCUGCGUAUCCUGAUCCUUGUGGCUGCAGUAUUGAUUCUCUAGCGCCUGCAGCUUCUUCAUCGUGGCGCCUUUGUUGUCCCCCGCGAUGGUUAUGAUCCUCACGCCCUUCUCGGAGGCGGCGUCGCCGAUGUCGAAGGCCGAGAGGCGGUCGGUGAGCUGCGAGAUCGUGUCGUGGACCUCGCGGUCGAGUUUGCGGGCUUCGGCGUCGGAAGAAGCCAUUGUUUGCGCAGGGAGGUUGAGGAGAAGAGGGUGUGGAUCGAGGUGGAUUUACAUACAUAAAUGGAAUGUAUAUAUAUAUAUAUAUAUAUAUAUAUAUAUAUAUACAUAUGCAUGUGGUUCUUUACUUGGUGAUUAUGUGCAAGUAUAGUAAGAUUGAGUAAUGGAGUGAGUUAAGUAAUUCCAUUAACAAGGUUAGAAGAAAAGGAUCACUUGCACUGUGAGGGCUCCUUUUUUUUUAUAUAUAAAUGUCUGUUUGGUCCCACUUUUGCUUCUACUUUCAGCUACAGUUAUUUAUGAUAUGAUAUUAAAUAAAUAAUAAAAUUUAGAGAUUCUAUUGUAGCUGAAAAUUAAAUUAAGAUGUGGAGUCUCCAAAAGUAAAAAUUUAAAAUUUGGAGUUUUCGUUUUUGGAUUUUUCUAAUACAACGUUGUAUUACUACUCAAACAAGAAUUUUUUUUUUUUUUUUUGAGAGAUAGAUAGUAUGCUACAUGCUUCAUUUAUUUCAUUUAGAAAUAAACUUAGCUAGAAAUGUGAAUCAACUAGGAUUUGAAUUUGGGACCUCGGGUACCAACCAUCAAGCCCUUUGACAGAAUAAGUAUAUUAUAUCGAGUAAUGAUUUAGAUAUUUUAGCUCUCAUCUAUACCUCUAUACCUAUACAUUAUUUUCCAUAAAAUUCGCCACAUGACAAUAUUUCUUUCACCCCUUGCUUUCUCUCCCCUUAGCAUUCCCUGAUGCUUCGUCUUCCCACUCAUCUCUAUCUGAUGCUUCGUCUUUUCACUGGCUCACUUUUUAAUUAAUGCAUUCAUAUAGUCUAUUGUCAUCUAAAUAAAUUAUUUUUACAAGAAAAGAGUAAAAUAAUAUCUCUUCAUACUCUUUUUUCAUAUUAUUUAUAUUUAUUGAUGUUUCAUGAAAGUCAAAAAAAUUUUAAAUUUUUUAUUUUAUCAAUUUUCUGUCUUUUAUAAUAUUAGCCAGCCGCAAUGCGCUGUUAACUUCACUAAUAAUAUCAAAAUUAGCUCUAGAAAUAUUUCUUUUAAAAUAAAAAGUACAGAAGUCGGAUCACACACAAACUAUAAUUUUAUUCAGGACGAAUUAACAAAUAUUACAUUUAGAAAUAAUUUGGAUAAACCAAACCAAUGUAACCGAAUUAAAAAAUUUCGAUUUGAUUUGGUUCCAAUUUUACAUACUAUAUAUCUGUUUAAUUUUGAGCCAUAAUGUCUCCUGGUGCACUAUUUAUUUGCCUGCUUGUUUGUGGUGUAUCCAUACAUCUUAUGUGUCAGAUACAAUAUUUUGGAAAUAUAUUAUCUAAAUAUUAGUAAUUUCGAAAAUGGCCAAUUUGCAUAAAAAAUUCACUAAUUUUGGGCUUUUGCAAAAGUGGACCACUUUUUUGGAUUUUGCAGAUUCGGACCGAAAUUUCAGCAAACUGACCAAAAUACCUUUAUUACUUUUUCUCUCUCCUCUUUCUUUUUCUCCGUUCUUUUUUUCCUCUCUCCGAAGAAGGCAGCGGAGACGGAGGUGGAGGUGGAAACACCCCGCCUCGCCUCCGCCCUGCACGCCCUCGCCCGUGCACUCCAGCCCUCCUCGCCUCUGACCCUGCUGAGGCCGCGUCGCCACCCUUCUUUUACACUAGGGCACAGCGACGUCGAGACGCAGGCUCUUCUCCUCCACCGCGCGUCGGAACGCCAAGACGUCGUCGACGACGUCGUGAUGGUUGCGAUAGAAAGUAAGGGAGAGGUGGUGACAAAAAAAAAUUAUAGAAAAAAAUAAAAAUAAAAAAAAUUAUUUUUUUCUUACAGAAAAGAUCAAAACAUAUAGGAGAAGAAAGAAGAUGAUGAAAUUACACUCUUAAAAAAAAUUACACUGUUUUAAAAAAAAUUGCACUGUUUUAAUGAAAAUUGCACUAUUUUAUAUAAAAAUUACACUCUUUUAAAAUAGACUUUACACUCUUUAGGCCAAUAUUGCACAAUUUAGAAAAAUUUUGCAAUAUUUCAUUUCUUUCUUUUCUUUUCCUCUCUCUUCUUCUUCUUCUUCUUCCUCCUCCUGCGGGAGCAGCACCCACCUUUCUUCUUCUUCUUCCUACAAGAGCAGCACCCACCCUGCAGGAGCACCUCCCCGUCGCUGCCGCCGCCGAGGAGGCCGCGGCGGCGACGCUGCGCAUGAUGUCGGCGCCGCCCCCCAGCCGCGAUCGCGCGUGGGCUGUUCUCCUUCGCCAGCACAGCGCGAACAGCCCCGCACCAUGCUUAACCUGGGCUGGCUUGAUGGACCGCGCUCGAGGCACCCGAGGGCCUACUGCACCGCCUCCGGCAUGUUCGCCAUCGCCGCCGUCCUGCUCCGCUCGUCAGCGCCGGUGCACCGUCGUCGCUCCAAGUGCCUCACGGCGGCACCGCGGCACACUCUCUCCGCUGCCUGCGCAUCCGCGCCACCUUCGUCGACGCCCAACACACCCACGUCCGUCUUGCGCGCGCCGUCCACUGAGGUGACACCAAGGUCAUCCAAUCUCUCAUUUUUAUUAUAUAUAUAGCAUUGUGAUAUUAAUUGUAUCAUUUUCUCUGGAUGUUAAGCUUGUGAAGAGAAUAUAAUUAAGGGUUGUUGUAUAUUAUAUACUAUUUUUUGGAAGUGAAUCAAACCUAAAAGUGUUAUAGAUGAAACGGAACAGUCGCGGAACGCCGCCGGCGUCGCCGCGGGGAGACCCACCAUGGGCGUGAAGGUGUUGUCCACCACGACGUUGCAGUAGCGGACGUGUCGCCACCGGCUAGCUCACCCCCUUGCGAGUCGAUCGCGGAGGGGGGUACUGCGGCCUGCGGUGGUCUGGGAGAAGGGGGUGAAGCUGGUGGUGGACAACACCUUCACGCCCAUGGUGGUCUCCCCCGCGCGACUCCGCGCCGACGUCAUCAUACAUAGUGUCUCCAAGUUCAUCAGCGGCGGUGCCGACAUCAUCGCCAGUUACUAACCAACUUAUCCUUUUCUUUUCUUUUCCUUCUUAUUUUUUAGGCGGCGCCGACAUCAUGCGCAGCGUCGCCGCCGCGGCCUCCUCGGCGGCGGCAGCGACGGGGAGGUGCUCCUGCAGGGUGGGUGCUGCUCUUGUAGGAAGAAGAAGAAGAAAGGUGGGUGCUGCUCCCGCAGGAGGAGGAAGAAGAAGAAGAAGAAGAGAGAGGAAAAGAAAAGAAAGAAAUGAAAUAUUGCAAAAUUUUUCUAAAUUGUGCAAUAUUGGCCUAAAGAGUGUAAAGUCUAUUUUAAAAGAGUGUAAUUUUUAUAUAAAAUAGUGCAAUUUUCAUUAAAACAGUGCAAUUUUUUUUAAAACAGUGUAAUUUUUUUUAAGAGUGUAAUUUCAUCAUCUUCUUUCUUCUCCUAUAUGUUUUGAUCUUUUCUGUAAGAAAAAAAUAAUUUUUUUUAUUUUUAUUUUUUUCUAUAAUUUUUUUUUGUUACCACCUCUCCCUUACUUUCUAUCGCAACCAUCAUGACGUCGUCGAUGACGUCUCGGCGUUCCGACGCGCUGUGGAGGAGAAGAGCCUGCGUCUCGACGUUGCCGUGCCCUAGUGUAGAAGAAGGGUGGCGACGCGGCCUCAGCAGGGUUAGAGGCGAGGAGACUGGAGUGUACGGGUGAGGGCGUGUAGGGCGGAGGCGAGGCUGGCUGUUUCCGCCUCCGCCUCCGCUGCCUUCUUCGGAGAGAGAAAAAAAAAACGAGAAAAAAAGAAAGAGGAGAGAGAAAAAGUAAUAAGGGUAUUUUAGUCAGUUUGCUGAAAUUUUGGUCCAAAUUUACAAAAUCUAAAAAAGUGGUCCACUUUUGCAAAAGCCCAAAAUUAAUAGAUUUUUUAUGCAAAUUGACCUUCGAAAAUUUUGGAUAUAAUUUUAGUAGUUUCAAAAAUAUAUUAUCUAAAUAUUAACAGGCAAAGUUGCUUUUCGAUCUAUGCUUCGCGGCGAUUUGUUGGAAACUGUGGAAAGAAAGAAACACUAGAGUUUUUGAAAAUCGUGAAACGGAAAGUGGGGAAGUGGGUAAUAAGGUCGUGUCCUCUGCUAUCCUUUGGAAAUCACUUCUGAGGUCAAAGGGGGACUUUUUUCGAAAAUAACCCUAUAAAAAUUCGUAUUUGCAAAACAAAUCCUGUGAAAUUUUUAUUUGUGAAACUAACCCUCCUCUCGCCACGUGGGCGCUACGUCAGAGAUUCCUCAAAAAGACGGUGAAUCGUUCACCGUCUUUGAUAUUUGUUGUGAAGGCGGUGAAUGGUUCACCGUCUUCAUAAGACGGUAAACCAUUCACCGUCUUUAGUACAAAUCCCUACACUGCGCAAAUCUUUCCAAGUCCAUAAUAUGAUGUCCUUGAUAAGACGGUGAAUCGUUCCUCGUCUUCUCGAGGGCACAGAAAAGGCAGAUUUGAGAGGGCGGAAAGGGAAAAUGGCGGAAAAGAAAAUUUUGCACUAAAGACAGUGAAUGGUUUACCGUCUUCUAAAGACGGUGCACCAUUCACCGCUUUUACAACAAAAAUUACAAAGACGGUGAACGAUUCAUCGCCUUUUUUAGGAAUUCUUGACGUGGCGCCCACGUGGCGAAAGGAGAAUUAAUUUUACAAAUAAAAAUUUCAUGAGGUUAUUUUGGCAAAUACGAACUUUCACAUAAUUAUUUUCGAAAAAAGUCCUCAUAGGGAGCAACAGAGGCGGUUAGCCUCUUACCUCUCUCCUACUGGCAUGUACUAUGGUAUUCUCAAAUAGGGUAUUUCCCUGUUUAAUAAUAUAUAUAUAUAUAUAUAUAUAUUAGUAGUUUCAAAAAUUAAUACUUAAAAAAAAAUUAUUUAAAUCGUAUAUAAAAUCUAGUAUUUCAUAUUUUAUUAGUAAUGAAUCUAAAUACUUCAAUUUUAUACAAAAAUUAAAAAAAAAAUAAAACCUCACAUUACCAUGUCUCUUCCUACAGAAUAUUUUAUAACUAUCAAAAAAUUAUGAAUCUAGUUAAAUUAUUUUUUGAUAAUAAAAUAUUUGAAUCAGUUUUGUUAAAUUUAUUUUAUUAUAUUUAAAAAUUUUAAAAUAAUAAAAUUAUUAAUUUUUAUAUUAUUUAGCAAAUGACUCGAAAUUAAACGCAAAUUCGAAUUUUAUUAUAUUAUUAUAUAUUAAAUUAAAAUUAAAAGAAAGCGGUGGGCGGUGUUGUUCAAAUCUCCAUCAUCAAUUAAAAUAAUAAUAAUAAUAAUAACAAUAAUUGCCCUACGGAGGCUCGACCAAUCGACCCCACCAUUUCCGCGUCUCUCCGCUUUUUUUUCUCCCAAAAACCUAGGGCUUGCGAAUCCCAAAUUGAGGGGGGUGAGAGAGAGAGGAAUCGGGGGAGGAGGAAGAAGACGAAGAGGAGAUUGUCGCCAUGUCGCCCGGAGCUUCCGAUGGAUCCAGCGUUGUCGGUGAGGAGACGAAUUAAUGUCUCGUUUUUGUCUAAUUUAGGGUUCUUUGUGGUGUUUUUAGGGAUUUAGCGUCGGUAAUCGCUUCAGUUAGGUGUGAUUUGCGCUUUGAAUCGGUUGUGGUGCGAAAGAUAGGAUCUUUAAUCUGUUAAUUUUGGGAUUGAUUGUGCUAGGAUUUGUGUUUUGGUAAUUUUUGUGUACUCGUGAACCGAAAGAUCGAUAUAAUAGGAAAUGAUCUUAAUAAUCUUAAUACCUUUGCUUAUUUGCGUGGUGGAUAUAUGACAAGAGAGAGGUGAACGAAGGGCGAUUUAACUCGUUAAACAGUAGAUGUGGGGAAUUGAACACAAGACCUCUUUGAACCGUUGCGAGAUUCGGGGUUAGGGGUUGGGGUUCGGGGUCGGAAUUGAAUCCAGGACCUCUUGGAACUGGUGGGUUUGGGGGUGGCGAAAUUGAACCAUGGACCUCUUGGUUGCGGUUGCGGUCGCGGUAGGGGUGGGGAGGAGGGUCGGGCUGUGGGUGGGAGGAGUUCUUAGGACUUGCUGUGAUCGCCGUGUAGCUCAAAAGAUUGAUCUACUAGGAAAUGGUUCGGGAAUAGUCUUAACAAUACUAAUGAUUAUUUGAAAUUGUUUGCUAUAUUCAGUUAUCUGGUUCUUAGAUAGUUUUUACCGUAUGUGCUGAGUUGUGAAUAAUUCUUAAAAAUAAGAUCGAGAAAUUUGUUCUCAUAUGCCAAAAUGAUGAUUUUAAUGCCAAAAAGCUAUAUGUUUUGUGAGAACCUGCUGGAAUUUCAAUGAAAAGACUUCUGGGUUUAAUGUUUAUGCCAAUUUAGCAGCUAAAGAGAAGUCCUUUAGUCGGUGGUAUUCCCCGUUAUGAAGGCAUACAUGUAUCCAUUUUUCUGUAUAUAUAAGAGAAGGCAAUUGAAGGGACUUUCGCAUUAUUAUUCUACCUCGAAAAAUGAUUUUGACAUCUAAAUCAUUUAUUAGCACGUUGUCGUGAAGCUUCGGGCGGGUGUCCUCAGAGGCAGGAGCAUUUGGGGUGUACAAAUUAGGAGCUUUGUGAGGUUAAACACUGUAACUGAAUUAACGUGUUCAGAGAACAUGGUCAAUAAAAUUUCCUGGGAUCCUAAAAUGCUACGCAGGUGUGGCGCUUAAUUGGCAACGAUACAGUUAUUGCGAUUGAAAAGAAGUUACCUAUAAUUUUUUCUCAAAUAAAAGAUUGAAAUUGUUUAGUUUUCUCUAAUGAUGUUUCCUAUGGCACAAAAGAUGCACAAUAUCCCAAUGCAUCUUCCCCCUGUCUUUAAUUUGUUUGAUUUUUGUUAGACUACUGACUAUUAAGAAGAAAGAAGAUUCUAGGCAACCUAUAGUUCCUUGUAAGGGAAAAUAAUCUUCUUAAAGGGAACCCUAUAAUUGAUGAAAUAAUGCAUUUCUGUCUCAUUAUAAUUGGUCGUUACUAAUCCUUUAGCUGUUACUAUUUUACUUAAAUUAUUUGUUGUCCAUGCUCGAUAUAUAUACACACUUUUUAAGUGCUGGUUUUCAUUUACUUGGGACUUUUUCUUGUUCCAUUUGUAAUGAGAGUGAUCAUUUUGUUAAACAAUUUGCACAGUUCCACGGAACUUUAGACUGCUAGAAGAACUCGAACGAGGAGAAAAGGGGAUUGGAGAUGGUACCGUGAGUUAUGGGAUGGAGGAUGGAGAUGACAUCCUGAUGCGCUCAUGGACGGGCACUAUAAUCGGCCCUCAUCAUGUAAACAAAAAUAGCACUUUUCACAUAUUUCAUCUUAUAAUUACUUUUUAUAUAUUAUGGACUUUAUUGGUUUUUUUUUUUAUUUUGUGAAUCUUAACAUUCUUGCAGUCCGCUCAUGAGGGUCGGAUCUAUCAGCUCAGGUUAUUCUGCGACAUGGAUUAUCCUGAGAAGCCUCCCAGUGUCUGGUUCCGCUCGAGAAUAAACAUGACGUGUAUCAAUCCUCAUUCAGGAGCGGUAAUAUGGAUGAACAACAUCUCUCUUCCCUUUGAAAUAAAAAAGAAGAAGAUAUAGCACUGCAAAUAUUAUCUUUUAUCAUAUAUCCAUGAAAAAGCAGAAUUUCCUUAGAUGUGCUUCAAACAACUCAAUAUCUUACAUGUAUAACCAUGUAGUUAUGGAAUGCCCAUCUCUGAAAAACAUCAAAACUAACUUCCCCCUAUGAGUUGGAUGAAUUUCCAACUUAACGGUUAUGCUUGAAAGAAACUGCACUUGCAAGAUGUAUACAUGUGAAAAUUCAAACGUUAGUGAGGUACAUAUGCAAAUCAUUAUUUUGCAACCAUUUCCACAAAAUUCUAAUAGCUUGGGCGAACAAACACAGGUUGAACCGAAGAAAUUUGGCAUUUUGGCGAAUUGGCAACGCAGGUUUACAAUGGAAGAUAUCCUAGUAGAGCUGAAGAGGGAAAUGGCUGCCCCGCAUAACCGCAAGCUACCCCAACCCCCUGAAGGUACAUUCUUUUAGAAGAUCAUCGGGUAUUAAUAGUGUAUCUUGAUGGAUUUCCCACUAGUAUUGCUCAGUCAAAGACACUUUAUGUCACAAUUCAGAACGGGGAAGUAGUAAUAUUUUUUCAUAAUUGCUGGUGAAAUUUGUGUCAUUUGUUGCAAGAAUGCGAUUAUGCAAGGACUAAUUACUGUCUCUGAUAUUUAUUUUGUAUGAAUGAUUUUCGACCAAGUCUUUUGACUAGUGCUGUUUUCUUCUCCUCCCCUUUGUAAUCCAUACUUUAUUCUUGUUCACUUUCUCUUGCUUACAUAUCAUCUAAUUGUUGAAGUGCCUCAGAAUUUUCACACUGUUUGGUAUCAAUAGAAAUGAAAUCAAUUCGAUUUUCAAUUCAAUGUUCUCAAGUGAAUAAGGCUUGUGGUUGUCUUGGAAUGAAAUGUAUUUGGACUGGAUUCCAUUGCGUAUUUCCUGUUUUACUUGUGAUCAUUUGAGAUUCAUGAGAUUUACAAAGUUUGUGUUUAGAUGGGAAUCAUAAUUAGAUCUCAAAUCAUCUGAUUUGCUUUCUCUUAUGAAAUCCACCAAAAUUAGUGGAAAGAAAUACAAAUCAUGAACUAUAAGUAUCCAAACAACGGAUUGAGUAAAAUAUCAAUUUGAAUUUUUGCCCAAGUCACCUAGAAGGGUUUUGCCAAACAGGGUGCUAAUAGAGUUGGAAAGUAGGAAGUUUUGAAGUUUCAGAGCUUGUCCUGUUGCAGUAUCAAUUUUUGUCUCUUUGAAAACUUAAGAGAAAAGGUAGAUUUGGAAAAGCAAGAAUACUUUUUAUACAUUUUGGGUUUGUGAUUCAAUCCAAAUCGGUGAUUUAAAGGACUCUAAAUAGGGUGUACAGCUAAUGGAAUAUAAAACUGAAUCUUAUUAUUUUUAUGUUGGUUAUGGUAAUCUGACAAUAGAUUGCAACACUUCUGUUGGAGAGUUUCUGAUUCAUCAGUUUCUGAGUCAUCAGAUAACUGAACACUCCUUUGAUGCUUUUAGAACUCUGCAUUUAAAUAAUGUCCAAUCAUCAUCUCUACUUUAGGCAAAGCUAUGUUAGAUGAUUGCUAUGAAAGUUGAGGAUAGUGGAGUAUCAGAUUAAAGCAUUUAGGGUUUUUAGUGGUUGUAUAUUUUAGUUACUAAAUCUGUAUAGCAUAUUCUUAAUCAUCUCCUAAAUGUUGUAUUACUAUAGAUAUAUAAUUUGUAUCUAGAAGAGCUCUUUUUAUUUCGAUGCACAUAUGCAUACACAUCAGAAUGCCGAUAAGCUCUCUGGUAAUAUGACCUGGAUUCGUAUCCUAAAAGACCGAAGACACUGGGUUGAGUUUCAAAUAGCUGAACUAUAUUAGGUUUCAAACUUGAAUUUGAAUUUGAAUAUGAGUCUGAUAAGCUAUGAGAUCCAAUUUAUGGGUGUGUUUGGUUCGCCCCUUUUUCACCCUGGAAUCGGAAUCGACAAAUGGUAUGCGGAAUUUUCAUUCCUACUCCGAUUCCGAUUCUCAGGUGAAUGAGAAUCCCUCUAAUUACCUCUUUUUCCAAUCCGGCCUAGGAAGGCCGGAUUGGAAGGAUUAAAUUUAACUUUUUUAAGCUUAUUUUUUAAUUAAAACAUAAGUUUAAGUUUAAAAAUUAUAUUUAUAAUUUAAAAUUUAAUUUAAACUUAAAUUAAAAAUUAAAAUUCAAUCAAGCAUUCGAAUCUAAUUUAUAAAAUUAAAUUUAAAUUUAAAUUUAAUUUAAAAUCUAAAGUUCUAUUCAUAUUUUAUUUAAAAUUUAAAUUAAAUUUAUGGAUUCAAAUUGAAAUUGAAAUUAUAAUUUUAAGUUUGAAUUUGAAUAAAUAGAAAUAGUUUUAUAUUUUGAAUUAUCCGUUCAAUUUCAAAUUUUAAUUUUUUUAAAAAAUAUAUUUAAAAUUUUGACAUCAUUUUAAAAUUUUGAUGUACAUUUUUAAUAUUUAUUCUUCAAUUUGAAUUUAAACUAAUAUAUUAUAAAGAUAAAAUUGACAUAUUAAUUUGAUUACAUUUCUAAUAUCUAUUUAAGCCAAACACAUACAAUGGAAAUGGUUCAAUCCGAUUCCAAUUCAUGUGGCAAACUAAAUAGAAUGAGGUAAUGAAUUAUUCAGAUUUCGUUUCCAGCUUAUUCUUAUUUCGAUUUCAAUACCGAUUUUGACUUCGAAUCAAACACACCCUAUAUUUCUAGGUACUUUCUAGUGUGGGUUGGAUUCAGAUCAGGUUGGUGGAUUAGCCUUGUUCAUAGAUGUCUCUAGAUCGAAACAAGCAUUUGGUGUGGUGUAAGAUGUCCAUCCACUCUUAAUAGAUAAAUGAGUGCUAUAUUCAGCCAAUAAGUUAUUUUUUAUGAAUAAGACAAAUCAACACAUUGGUGGAAGGCAUUGUUCUAGUAAAAUCGUGACCGCGAAACUUUGCAAGUAACUAAAAAUAGACUUUUUAGUCUUUACAGCCAUAAAAGAAAAUCUUCAUGGCACACUAGCUAUUGCUGGAUAACUUCUCUUGACAUCUGAACAGAUCCUAAAUUGCACUGUCAAAUUUUUUUUCACAUAGAAUAAUCAUAAGUAGCUCUUUGAGUUCUCUCUCUCUCUCUGUCUCUUGUGAACUCGGUUUCCUUCAUUUGUAGAGAAGCCUUUAGAACUCCUCAAUGCCCAUUAGGAUGUCACUUUCAAUGUAUGGGUGAUCACAUCCAUUAUGAUUAAUUAAGCAAUGGUGUCUCGGUUAAGUAGCCUAGCAUGCCUCUUCCUUUUUGGGUAUAUGAAAGAGAAGUCCAACAAUUGAAGGUGGAAUAAGCCAUUGAAAAUAUUGGACCAUGGAAGUCUCAUCUUGUAGAUCAUACUCUAGAAUAUGAAUUGUGCCUUCUGGUAGUGCCUUUCAUUUUCCAUUCUCAGUUUGUGAAAUCUAAUCUCCCUUGGUUCGACGCGGUCGAAAAGUUGAUUAGGCAAUCUUUUGGAAUCUGUAGUGGGUCAAAACUGUAGUGAUGCUACCUUUAUCCAUCAAUUUACUCUACAAGAUUGUUGCGAGAUAUUAGGGUUCAAAUUGUAGAAAAAACUUUAAGUGUGGUUAAUGCUAAUUGACUUUAUGGUAGGGUGUAAGAGAAAAGUUUUCAGAGGGAUUGAGAAUGGGACCCAUCUAAAAUUAGCAUUCAAAAUUAUUGAUGAGCUACUACCAUGCUCUUUUUCCUCAUAAUUCACAAAGCAAUCACCAACUGUCGCUAGAGCAAGUGGCAAAAGGUUUAGUGGUUGAUACCCGAGACCCAAGUUCGAAUUCUAGUUGAUUCACAUUUCCAGCUAAGUUUAUUUCUAAAUGAAAUAAACGAAGCGGGUAGCGUGCUAGCUAUCUCUCAAAAAAAAAAAAAAAAAAAAUCCUGUAUACAUAAACAUUGAACUGGACUUGUCCAAGGAAGAGGAGUCUCAUUUUCAAAUUCCCCAAAACUGCAGAAAACAAAAGCUAUCAUCAUUCCUGUAGAUGAUCUCAUGCUUAUCUCAUUUCCUUAAUAUGAGAUUACCAUAAGGAGAGGGUCUUGAUGCAUGCCAAGUGUCUCUACUUUAAAAUCCCGACCGUCCAUUGAGUUGCAGCUGUUGAUAUAGAUAAAUCUUGUAAGGAGCUUUAAGUAGGAUUUGUGCUCUGUUGUGUUUGGCUAGUGCAAGUUCCUCAGUAGGGCAUGUUUUGAUCACAUUUAUUGAAGCACAAUAUUGGUCACUCCACCAAAUCUCUCUCUUCUCUCUCUCUGUUUCUCACUCUCUCAUGGAUGGAAGUGAGACAAGAUCUAAUGGACCAUCAGUAUGUUUACACAAUUCAGCCUCUUCUUCCUCCAAUUCUCAAAGCAUCUCUUCAACGGCGCCAACUACAUCGUCGUCGUCGUCAUCAUCAUCGUCAUCGUCAUCUUCAUCGUCAUCGACCACAUCAAGCACACACGGGGAACCCGGGGGGAGGAUGGUGCUACGGGGAUGCCCGCGGUGCCUCAUGUACGUGAUCGUGCAUGAGCAGAACCAGAGAUGCCCGAGGUGCUACUCGACUGCUUUGCUCCACCUCUUCUCAUAAGGAUGUGAUGUACGUAUAUACGUACGUACGUAUGUUCCGUAUAGCUUCAUCAAGCCUCAGUUUUAUUACUAAUGCAUACUUACAGAGGAAGUUUCAGAAUAAAGAGAAUUGACAUUUCUUGUGUAUAAUUCUUAGGAAAAGAAGAAAACAAUGAACUAGAUUGCACCCUUCGAUUUUUGAGUGUCGUAAAAGUUGUAGAGAUACUAUAAUUUUGAUCUUCUGAUGAGCAGAGAACAUAUGGUGUAGGUAAAAAAGAAAAAAGAAAAAACAGAGGUAUAACUGAAAAUAUGAUCAUAUUGCUGAUCACUGUGUUAUCAAUAUUCUUCGGUGUUUUUAAAUAGAAGUAAUGGAUCCUGUGAAGAUCAUCUUGAACAAGCAUUGCAAAACCCAGUGUUAGGAGUUUAAUUAAGAGGCGGUUUUUUUUAAGAAGAGUCUGUAACAACCCGGAAGAUAGCUAGUAUUAGUAGUUAGAUGUAGGAGAGAAGUAAAGGUAACAGCUUUACUAGUUAGAAGGAGAAUAAGGACAGCAGCAGGUGGAGAGGAGGAGGUGCGGCAGGAGGGUCCGACGAGAAGCGCCUUCAAAGAGGCUCAGGCGAGCUUGUCGGAGCAAUCUGGCGAGAGGAGGUCCGGGCGGAGUUCUGGUGGGGUCAUUUUACUACCGAUUUGUUUUCGAUGAUAGAGCUUUCAAAUUGACGAUCGGCUCCGUUAAAUAUGAUCUAAACCAUUUAAACUAUCUAGAAAUCAAAUUUUACGCACUUUCGAUAUUGUUCUUUUAUCCAUCAAGUGAAUAGAAAAUUGAAUNUUAUUUUCUUUAGCAACAAAAUAUUUUAACUAUUUAUUAUGUCUUUUUAUCACAUAUUUUGAACUUUAUUGAGAAAAUUACUUACUAAUUUAAAGAAUAGGGGGUUUUGAGCUGUGCCAUCGGUACGGGGUCUGUAUCAUGUCGUUAUCUUGUUGACACGGCACAAUACGGUAGAUACGGUCGUGUUGACGGGCACUUAAAAUCUUGCUAAGAGUAAAUUAAGUGCUAAUUUUUUAGAAUGUUUUUUAUUAGAUUGUUAGUAGUAUGUUGACAUCAUCUUUUUUAAAUGUUUUAUGAUAUAUUUGUUAAGCGUAUUAACAAAUUAUUAGGAGCCUUUGUGGAAUAAAACCAAUGCAUUUCCUAUACAUUAGAUUUUAUCUCACCUCUCUCUCUCUCUCUCUCUCUCUCUCUCUCUCUCUUUAUAUAUAUAUAUAUAUAUAUAUAUAUAUAUAUAUAUAUCCAUAGCAAACGGGCUCCGUUGUCACCCAUUUGUUUUCGAUGAUAGAGCCUCCAAAUCGACGAUUGGCACCGUUGAAUAUGAUCUAUACCACUUGAAGUGUUUAGAAAUCAAAUUUCAUAUAUUUUCGAUAUUGUUCUCUUAUCCAUCGAGUGGACACAAAAAUGAAUGACUGAAAAUAAAUAUUUUUUAAAAAAUGAUGAUAGGAGUCUUGUAAUCAAGAUCAAGAGUAUAGAUCUUGUUUUAAAUAGUUUAAAAAAUUUUCUAAUAAAAAUUCAAUUGAUUUGAAUAUUUUUACGCUAUUAAACGAGAAAACGCCUCAUAUCGACCAUUAAAAUUACAAAUUUUAAAAUCCUUUGAUAAUUAGGCAAAUGAUGUCGAAAAGAUUUGAAAUUUAAUUUCUAAACACUUCAAGUGGUAUAGAUUAUGUUCAACGGUGCCAUUAUCGAUUUGAAAGCUCCAUCAUCGAAAACAAAUGGGUGACAACGAAGCCCGUUUGCUAUCGAUAGUAUAUAUAUAUAUAUAAUAUAUAUAUAUUAUAUAUAUAUAUAUAUAUAUAUAUAUAUAUAUAUAUAUAUAUAUAUAUACUAUAGUAGCUAAUAUACUAUUAAUAGCACCAAGUCAUUGAUGCUACCAAGUUUUUGGCCAUUGGAUUAAGAGAAUGCGCUGUUUGGAUGAUGUUGGCCCCUUAGGGUUGACUUGGUGGUUGGUUGAAUAGUAUGAUCUAACAGGUGAAAAUGAUCAAAAAGAUAGAUCUAACGGCGGAAAACUUAGUAGCACCAAGUGCUUCGUACUAUUAAUAGCAUAGUAGCCGGACUCUCUCUCUCUCUCUCUCUCUCUCUCUCUCUCUCUCUCUCUCUCUCUCUCUCUCUCUAUAUAUAUAUAUAUAUAUAUAUAUAUAUAUAUAUAUAUUCGGCUACUAUGCUAUUAAUAGCACGAAGCACUUGAUGCUACCAAGCUCUCUCUCUCUCUCUCUCUCUCUCUAUAUAUAUAUAUAUAUAUAUAUAUAAUUGAGCUUCUACACUUUUAAAAGCUUUCGGUUAGUAGUGCUUUUAAGUUUUUAACCGUUGGAUGAAGAUUUAUAAGGUUAGGAUAAUAGUGAUCAUCUACUAGGGUUGAUCGUGGAAUAGCAUAAUCUAAAGAAUGAAAUUGAUCAAAGAGAUCGAUCUAAUGGUAGAAACUUAUAAGCAUGAUGCUUUUGCAAGCACUGUAGCCGGACUCUCUCUCUCUCUCUCUCUCUCUCUCUCUCUAUAUAUAUAUAUAUAUACUGGCUACGGUGCUUAUAAAAGCACCAAGCAUUUGGUGCUUGUCAAUUCUUUUUUUUAGAUCUACGCCUUUGAUCAUUUUCACUCGUUAGAUUAUACUAUUCAACCACACACUUACUUAACCCUAGGAGGCCCACAUCAUCCUAUGCUUGAUAAGAGAAAUAAAAUUAUGUUAGCGGGAAAGAUGAGACGAUAUUGUGAACACAAAUUGGUUUAGACUCGAAAUAAAUAUAUAACUACGUAAGUUAGCACCUUAGCAUUAGUCUCUCUUUUGCAAAUUAAUCUGUUGGCGCCGUAAAAUCGUGCUAAGUGGUGAACCGGAAUGCACCAUCAGCAUGGUUCUUGAAGUCAGGGAUAAGCAACAUAUGGUGCAUCAGGAAUUGAGAAAAACAUACUGAAAACUGAAAAGCAGUUAAUGCCUAUGCGAUUCAGAUCGGCUAGUAGUACCGACCGUCUAGAGAAAGUGGCAAAAGGCUUGAUGGUUGGUACUCGAGACCCAAAUUCGAAUCCUAGUUGAUUCACAUUUCUAGCUAAGUUUAUUUCUAAAUGAAAUAAACAAAGCUCGUAGCGUGCUACCUAUCUCUCUCAAAAAAAAAAANAAUCGGCUAGUAGUGGUCCGCGAAAUCAAUGAUGUGUCAGAUCAUGAGAAAAACGGGAUAAUAACGGACGAGAUUAUAAAUAAAAAAAAAAAAAGACACCUAACACAGGAGUCUUUUUCUCCUGAGAAACAAGGAGACCAAUUUCCUUUUUAUUAUAUUUUUUAUUUUUUAGGAGUAGUUUACAUAUGAUACCUUUUCAUUUUCUACAUUUACUGUCUUUUCUAGAAGUAAUUUGUAGAUUUAAUUUUUCUCUAAGACUGUAAGCUAUAGCAGUGCACCUUCUUCUAUAAAUAUUUUUUAACUUUAAGCAAUAUAUAAGCAUUUCGACUUUCAGCCGAAUCAGAAAUACUGUGCAGUUUCUGGACUCGGUUGAUCCAGCGGAACCAAAAAUACUGUGUAAUUUCUGAACUUGGCUGAUUCGAUUCCUUAUCAGCCGAAUUGCUUGAUUCGACAGUGGGCGCAAAUCUCAAGGAUCAUCAACAAUAUCUGCUCUGUCUCUUUGCGCUUUCUAAAAGAGAAUUGUGACUGAAUCAGCGGUCAAAAAAAUCAGCUUGCAGCAUAAUCAUAAAUGGCACCUGAUUUAUUCAUAUUUUUACACUAUUUAUAGGUCUAAUCAAAUGAUCAAUUUUUAUAAUAUAGAAAAGCAAUUUACUGAGUGAUAAGAUUGAAAUAUAAUGUAAAAAAAAAUCGAGGGCCGAUUGAUGCGGGAUGCAUGAUCCGACCCGCUAAGAAAACGUAAUGGGAACUGGGAAGUAAAAGAUUCCUCCCGUCCCUCCGAAUCCGCCCCGUUUGCAUGGUGCACCACCGGAGAAUGCGCAGUUUUAAAUAUUUUUCUCCAUUUGCCACGCGUCCGAUUCUCAUUCGCUGUGUCCGACCUUUCUACGUCACCGUACACUAAACAUCCUCCCACGUUUCGCAGUAAACACUCUGCAACUUCUUCGGUGCAACGGUUACACGGUCACGGACUUGCACCUCCUCACUACACCUCCGACAAGUGGGCCCCCCCUUGUCCGUUUCCCCCACUUCAAAACCCCUCGAACCCCUCCCCUCCCCUCCCUCGUGAGCUCUCUCUCUCUCUCUCUCUCUCUCUCAUGGCGUCGCGCGCUCUCCUCCUCGCUCUCGCGAUCUCCGCGUUCCUCCUCCUCUCCGCCUCCGGCGCCGGCGCGAACGGCGGCGCCGCCAACGACCUCGACGACGAGGACCUCAGCUUCCUCGAGGACGGCGACGAAGCCGCCCCCCACCACGGCUCCGAGGAACCCUCCUUCGGAGGCGACAGCGACGAGCUCGGGGACUUCGACCCCGCCGAGCUCGACGACGAGGAGGACGGCGUCGAGCCCUACUCGGCGGCGGGGGCGGGGGCCGAGAUCGACGAGAGCGACGUGGUGGUGCUCGCCGAGGGCAACUUCAGCGAGUUCCUCGCCUCGCGCCGCCACGUGAUGGUGGAGUUCUACGCGCCGUGGUGCAUGCACUGCCAGGCGCUGACCCCGGAGUACGCCGCGGCGGCCACGGCGCUCCGCGGCGAGGACGUGGCCCUCGCCAAGGUCGACGCCACCGAGGAGAAUGACCUCGCCCAGAGGUACGAGAUCCAGGGGUUCCCCACCGUGCUCUUCUUCGUCGACGGCGUUCACAGAGACUACCCCGGAGCAAGGAGCAGGUAACAAGCUUUGGAUCUGAUGCCUUCUCUCACUCGAUCUCCUCAAAUCCUUGUCAAAUUCGCAGUAGCUGUUGUAAUUUCUAAGCAGUUUUGCCCUAAUUUUGCUUCUUCCCAGGGUUUCUGCUCUAGAUCGACCCAUGAUAUUAUCAGGGACUAAUUAUGUGAGGGAUUUGGUUUUAAUUUUGCAGAGAUGCUAUAGUGACAUGGAUCAAGAAGAAGAUAGGCCCUGGAGUCCAGAAUAUCACCACAGUUGAUGAGGCAGAGAAGAUAUUAACUUCUGAAGAUAAAGUUGUUUUGGGCUUCCUCGACUCUUUGGUGGUAAUUUUAUAGAAUUGACUCCCUUUUAUCUUUUCAAUUGCAAAGAGGAUCAUACUGGAAUAAAGAAAAUGUACUCUUUCUUGUUAAAUUUUUCACAGAUAGUUGUUAUACUGUUGGAGCCCUAGGGAAGUGCCAAAUUGCAUUGUUUCGAAAGUUUGUUGUUUCGAUCUUUAAGGUUCCCGACGUUAUUUGGCUCAGAAUCAUCUUCUUGAUGUCUGCAGGGUGCUCACAGCGACGAGCUUUCUGCAGCUUCAAAGCUUGAAGAUGAGGUUAAUUUCUACCAGACUGUCAACCCUGAUGUAGCCAAGCUUUUCCACAUUGAUCCGAAAGAGAACCACCCGCCAUCUUUGAUAUUGCUGAAGAAGGAGGCUGAGAAAUUAGCCUACUUUGGUAUGCUUGUCUCCUAAGUGCUUCAACUUUCUAGGGUUCUAUGUCAUGAGAAAAGUGUAGGUAACUGCAUUGAUAUGACUGUUAUUCGAUAUGCAGAUGGAGAGUUCACUAAGUCUAGCAUUGCUGACUUUGUGUUUGCAAACAAGCUUCCAUUGGUGACCACAUUUACCAGGGAAAGUGCCCCUGCAAUUUUUGAUAAUCCUAUAAAGCAGCAGGUAAAUCUAUGUUGACUGCAUCAAACUACUGCCUUGCCGUUUAAUGCACAUUCUCUCGUGUCAAUGUAAGCAUGCCUUAUGUUUGACAUCUGUUCUUCUGUACUACUAUUAGAUUCUGCUCUUUGCUACAUCGAAUGAAUCUGAGAAGAUCGUGCCAACAUUCCAAGAAGCUGCAAAACUGUUCAAGGGAAAGGUAAGUGCCGAGUAUUCUGAUCUACCUCCUCCUUCAGAGUAACUCUGCAUAAUCACCUAAAACCCAAUAUUUGUCAAUUUAAUUAUGUGUUUCAUUCUUUGUAUAAUCUUUAUGAUGAAGCUUGACAUGUAAAAAUGUAGUUUUGGCCUUAUACAUAGCAUUGAGCCAUUUCUUCACUUAACAGCUGCUAACUUUUGUACUGGUGUGAUAUUUCAAGCGGUUUAUAUUUUUGACUCAUUUUACUUUAGCAUUGCUUACGUUGUGUCGAGUCAUGACUUAGUUCUGUUAUGUAUUUUGGAUGUCUUCCCAGAAAAAGGGAAGUAUCUGGUUGGAUCUUAUCUUUACUAGAUUCUUCAUAGCUUCCCAGAUUUCAAUUUCUCAGUGAAUACUUUAAUGCAAGGGAAUCCAGUGAAAAUCAAUCUUUUGUGAAGUGUAUUUGAUUAGUUCUAUACCGCAACGAUUCAAGUGAAGAGAGAUUCGGGUCGACUGUUAGGCGUGUUUGGUUCGAAGUCGGAAUCGGAAUUGGAAUGACACAUUACCUAAUUCUGUUUGGUUUAUCACCUGAAUAGGAAUCGGAAUAAAUCAUUCCCAUUGUCGGUGUUUGGUUCAGAUAAAUAUAAAAAACGUAAUCAGAUUAAUAUAUUAACUUUAUCUUUAUAAUAUAUUAAUUAAAAUUCAAAUUAAAAACUAAAUAUUAAAAAUUUACGUCAAAAUUUUGAAAUAAUGUCAAAAUUUUAAAUCUAUUUUUUUACAAAAAUUUAACUUUGAAGUUGAGUGGAUAAUUCGAAAUAUAAAACUAAAUUUCGAUUUAUUCAAAUUCAAAUUUAAAAUUAUAAUUUAAAUUUUAAUUUGAAUCCAUAAAUUUAAUUUAACUUUUAAAUAAAAUUUGAAUAAAACUUUAUAUAAAUUAAAAUUUAAUUUAAAUUCAAAUUCAUAAGUUAGAUUCGAAAUACUUGAUUAAAUUUUAAUUUUUAAUUCAAGUUCAAAUUAAAAUUUAAAAUUUAAAAUUUAAUUUCUAAAUUUAAACUCAUACUUUAAUUAAAAAAGUUGAAAAAAUAAAUUUGAUCCAAAAAAAUAUCUAUUCCGUCCGGAUUCAACUUCUAAUACGGCUCGGGAAUCGGAAUCGGAAUGGUACUCCCCCGUACCAAACACCCACAAACGGAUUCGCCCAUUCCGAUUCCGAUUCCAGGGUGAAAAAGAAGUGAACCAAACACGUCCUUUGCUUUAUUAAUCAAAGUUGGGUUAGGUACAUUUUGUUCACCCAUCCUCCUUGAAUGUACUUGUUCUCAAUGUUGGAAGCUACAACAGAAUCUGUUACUUCUGGAUCUUUAGCCAUCAGUUGUGAUUUAUGUUCGAAAUGUUGGCACAUUGCACUACCAAUUGGGCUUCCACUUUUUGUUGGAGUUUUAGCACAAGGCUUAUUUUGCACCUAAUUACUUAUUUGGGCAAUCUGAAGCUUUUCAUUGGACAUUUAGUUUACAACUCUUCAACAUAAAAUUAAUUCUCUCUACAUGACUAAACAUAAAUGAAUUAGAAAGUUAUUAGGAAUCUAACGUAUGCUCAGACAAGUCAAUCAAAGGGGGUUCUUAUUGGCAUGACUCUCAGAUUGUUAACUAGAGUUGCUGGGUGCUUCAUUGGACUACUUUCUGGUUGACCACGGUCAACUGCUGGGUCAGCUAGCCCUUAUUUUUUUGGGUGGUUGCGCUGGAGAUAGUGUGCCAGAUAAACACAUUUGGUGUGCUGCAACGUUUUCUCCUUAAUAUCUGUACGUGGUUGAUUCAAUUGCCAGCCAUUUGGCUGAAUUUGAAGAGAGUUCUUUGUUGCGUUCAACUCUCACUGAAUGCAGUAGUUGCGCUCUUUUCAUGUGAUCCUGUACCCUUGAAAUAUUUCUGUGUAAGGACAGUACAUUCUUGUCAUGCGAUCACGUCCAUAAUUAUUUCCUUUUCCUGUUUCGAAGUCAUUAAACUGCUUUAGAAGCUUGAUCGUCAGGUUUUGUAAAUUGAUGUACGGUAUAUGUUUGUAGCUUGCUCUGAGAUACCUAUGAUUUUGUUGCAGCUCAUCUUUAUUUAUGUGGAGAGGGAUAAUGAGGAUGUCGGUGUACCAGUUUCAAAUUACUUCGGUGUGACUGGAGAUGGUCCUAAAGUAAUAUACUCUUCUCUCUUCUUCUUCCGAUUAUUCGAACAUAUAUUAUUGUGCCUUUGUGCUGCUGGAUAAAUUUCAUCAUCUGAUUAACACAAUUAUGUAGGUUUUGGCAUACUCAGGAAAUGAAGAUGCCAAGAAAUAUAUACUCGAUGGUGAGCUAUCAUUGGACAGCAUAAAGGUUUGUAUUCCAUUACUAUUGCAAAGUGAGCAUACAUCAUUUUUUUCCUCUUUGAUUAGUUUUAAAUAGAAAAGAUGGAUAAGGUCUUUUCUUUACUGCAGAAAUUUGCCGAGGGUUUCUUGGAAGACAAGCUGAAGCCUUUCUACAAAUCUGACCCCAUUCCUGAGACUGUAAGUGCCCAAAAUUAUCCAACUCUCGUUUAUUUCUUCCCUAGUUCUAUUUUUCUUUUCUUUUUUUCCUUAUUUUUUUCUUUUCCAUUUUCAACAUUUGCAUAGAACGAUGGUGAUGUGAAGAUUGUUGUUGGGAACAAUUUUGAUGAGAUAGUUCUCGAUGAAUCCAAGGAUGUCCUCCUAGAGGUAAGUCAUUCCUCAGUAAUCAAUAGCGAACAUCUUUAUUCGUUCAGCGUAAUAUAACUUAAUACCGUUAUUCUUUUUGUGGGUUUGGAUGAACCAGAUCUAUGCACCAUGGUGUGGGCAUUGUCAAGCAUUGGAACCGGUUUACAACAAGCUCGCCAAGCAUCUCCGCGGCAUUGACUCUCUAGUCAUCGCAAAAAUGGACGGCACCACAAAUGAGCACCCUCGUGCCAAGGUCUUGCCUCUCACUCAAUAACUCUCUCUCUCUCUCUCUCUCUCUCUCUCUCUCAGUAUUGAGAGAUUAGGAACAGAAUCUAGAAAUGGAACUCUGAACAUUCCUCUUUGGCUUAUUUUUCAAAUAUUUUCAUAAACUGGAGAAUGUUGUCAUCAAUCCCUUGAAUCUGAAUGUGUUUUUCUGUUCAUACGUUCCAGACCGAUGGCUUCCCGACUCUGCUCUUCUUCCCAGCAGGGAACAAAAGCUUUGAACCCGUAAGUUUAAUAAUCACUUUGUAUCAACCAUUCGCAUCAUAUCAGUAUCAUCAUUAUCAUGCUCAGCUCAGUAGUUAGUUCCCUGUCUCACUUUUCUGCAUUUUGUACAGGUCACGGUCGAUACAGAUCGAACGGUGGUGGCGUUCUACAAGUUCAUAAAGAAGCACGCCUCGAUCCCAUUCAAGCUCCAGAGGCCGGACUCGGCAACAAAGUCCGAGAGCACCGCCGCUGGCGAUUCCUCUGCAGUGGAGAGUGAGAAGAGUACCAGCUCUGACGUUAAGGACGAGUUGUAGAGAGAGAGAGAGAGAGAGAGAGAGAGAGUGAUAGGGAGCUAUUCUAGGGUUUUUUUUGUCAGGGAAGGAUGAUGUUCUUUUAAGUUAUCUGAGCAGGUAUUUAAAGAGCUUUUCGGCGUAGCAUUAGUUGCCCGGGAAAUGUGAUCUCAAGAGUAGUUUAUCUUGAUACACCUCCUGUAAGAUAAGGAAACUGGAAACUAAUAAGAGUGUCAACUCUCCGUUUUUCACUUACUAUUCUCAUGAAGAUUACAAAAACAAGAACUUGCAAGCAGCAGGUGAUCGAACAUUGUUAAUGAGGAGCAAUUGAUCCAUCAAGCAGAGGACUGGGCCAAUCAAGAUCGAUUAAUCGAGAACCUGAGGUAAUCCAACUCCCAAAUUAUCGAAUUGAGACAGUUUAAAGGUGGAGUGUUCGAAAAGGCUUAUUUUUUUUUUUUUAAAAAAAAUUGAAUGGUCAGAAACCAAAAUAGGAUGAAGAACGAAUCAUCCUAAAUAACUUGAAUUUGAACCCAACCCAGGCACUGAUCGUCAAACUUUUGCCCUGGCUUUAGGUGAUACUGAAAACGUAAAAGAACAAAAUCUGAACCCACAAACAGAUCGUCAAACUUUUGCCGCGAUUUUCCGUGAUACUAAGAACAUAAAAAGAACAACAAGAAAAAACAGAUCGUCAAACUUUUGCCGCGAUUUUCGGUGAUAUAAAGAACAUAAAAAGAACAAAAAGAAAAAGAAGAACAAAGAGGAGUACGUGAUGCAGUCAACUGGGUUGCUUUCAGCAAAGCUAACGGGGAAUGCAAAAUUAAAAAUGGAAAAGCCUCUACUUUCAGCAUCCAACUUUUCUUUUACCAGAAGAAUGAGCUCUAAAAAAAAUAAAAAGUUAGCAUGCAAAUUCACAACACCUCUUCUUGCGCAAGUUAGAGAUGCGGUAUACUUUAUUUGAUAAUUAAUAUUUAAAAAUUAAAGAUUAAUUGACUAGAUUUAUGCUAUAACUUUUGAAGUUAUUUCAUACAUAUAAUAAAAAAGUCUAGAAAAUUUUAGAAUAUAGCAGCAGGACGCCGCCGUUCAAUUCCUAAUAAAUGAUGUUUCAAUUUUUUGAUCAUUGAUGUACAAGCCUUUUGAGUAUUAUUAAAAAAAUAUAUCUAUUCAAUAAUUAAAUUCUAAUUCUACGAAUUCAAUAAUAAGUUUGAAAUAUACGACUUAUCCGUCGAUACGAUAACUUUACUAAAACUUGGAGAGUUUAAAUUUUUUAAAAUAAUAUAUAUAUAUUUAAAUGAGACGGAUAGCGUACUAUUUUUUCUGAAAAAAAAGUUAUUUUUUUUUUUUUUUUUUCAGAGCAAAAUAAAAAAUUUGCAGAAGCUUGAAACGUGAAAACAUGUCAACGACAGAAAUGCACGAGAUCCAAUUAAUAUAUAAGCAUAUGAAAAUAGGAGGUCAACGCCUCACUCAAUCCAGUGUAUCCUCACUCCUCGUGAAUAAUUAAUAUUUUAAAAUUAAAGUUUAAUAUGACAGAUUCAACGUUCUACACCAUCUAAAAACUUAUAUAUAAAAAUUAUUAUUAUUUAAUUUGUAAGAAAUAAAGCUUCAAAAUUUAUAAUAUCUUUGUAAUUUGUUGCUUGGUUACGAAGACUCGAAGAGGAAAGGCGAAAAUGUCUGUGAAUCAAAUUGUGCUGUAGUUGAGGGGUCUCCAUGCAAUUGUAUCUAAUAUUAAAAAUUAGGAUUAAUUUUGUAUCAGUCCCUGCAAACAAAAUGAAUGAUAAAUAUAUCUCUACAAAGUUCAAUUUUCAUAUAUUGUCCCUAUAAAAAUUUUCAAAUAUAUCUUUUUGGUUUGUUACCAUUCUUCGUUUGAUUCGGAUAUAAGCAAGAACUAGUUAUACCGGGGAUAGAUACAAGUAUGGAUUUUAGUAGGAAUAAGGGUAUUUUUUUAUUUGGAUGAAAAUGUGAGUAUAAGCUGGAACUAGAAAAAUUGUGUUUGGAUAAAAAUGUAAGUAUAAGGUGGAAUAGUUGGUAGUUAUAAAUAGAAAAUAAUGAUAUUACUCCUAUAAUUGAAUUUACAUUUUUAAAUUUAUAAUUUUAAAUUGAAAAGUUUAACUUUUAAAUUUUAAAAUUUGAAAUUAAAAUUUAAAAUUUUAAUUUUAAAAAUUUUAAUUUUAAAUAUCAAAUUUUAAAUUUAAGACCAAAUUUAAAUUUGAAAGAUAUAAAAUAUCAAAUUUAAAAUUUAAAAACUAAAAAUAUCAUAUUUAAAAUUUAAAUUUUAAAAAUUUUAAUUUUAAAUAUCAAAUUUUAAAUUUAAGACCAAAUUUAAAUUUGAAAGAUAUAAAAUAUCAAAUUUAAAAUUUAAAAACUAAAAAUAUCAUAUUUAAAAUUAAAAUUUUAAAUUUUAUAAUUUUAACUUAUAAAUUUUAAAUUUUAAAAAUUUAAAUUUUAAUUUAAAACAAAAAUUUCUCUCUCUCUCUCUUUACCCGAGGGUGGGAACAAGCUUGUUCCCACCCCUAUACCGGAUUGUACCGGGUAGGUAGGAACAAGUGUUCCCACCCACCAAUAAAAGUGUUUGGGUAUAAGGGGGGAUAACCUCCUUAUCCCCCUCUUGUACCCAAUCCAAACACCCUCUGCGGUAUCGUUUGGUUCGGAAAUAAACAAAAAGUGACUAUUCCAGAAAUAAAUAUAAAUUGAGGUAUAAACGGGGAUUAGAUCAAUUUUGCUUUCGGAUGAAAAUUGGGUUAUUCCUGAGAAUAAAAAAAAUAGCAUUUGGUUAGGUAAGAUGGAAUAAGAAAGAUAGUGAAUUUUUAUAAAUAAAAAAAUAAUGAUAUUGAUCUUUUAUUAUAUUUAAAUUUGAAUUUUUAAAAUUUUUAAAAUUAAAAUUUUAACUUUGAAAUUUCAAAAUUUGAAAUUUAAAAUUCUUUUAAAACUAUUNAUAUCUUCGUAAUUUGUUGCUUGGUUACGAAGGCUCGAAGAGGAAAGGCGAAAAUGUCUGUGAAUCAAAUUGUGCUGUAGUUGAGGAGUCUCCAUGCAAUUGUAUCUAAUAUUAAAAAUUAGGAUUAAUUUUGUAUCUGUCCCUGCAAACAUAAUGAAUGAUAAAUAUAUCUCUACAAAGUUCAAUUUUCAUAUAUUGUCCCUAUAAAAAUUUUCAAAUAUAUCUCUUUGGUUUGUUACCAUUUUUCGUUUGGUUCGGAUGUAAGCAAGAACUAGUUAUAGCGGGGAUAGGUAUAAGUAUGGAUUUUAGUAGGAACAAGGAUAUUUUUUUAUUUGGAUGAAAAUGUAAGUAUAAGCUGGAACUAGAAAAAUUGUGUUAGGAUAAAAAUGUAACUAUAAGGUGGAAUAGUUGGUAGUUAUAAAUAGAAAAUAAUGAUAUUACUCCUAUAAUUGAAUUUAAAUUUUUAAAUUUUAAACUUAUAAUUUUAUAUUGAAAAUUUUGAACAAGCUUGUUCCCACCCAUACCCGAUAUGGGUACGCGGGUGGGAACAAGCUUGUUUCCACCGACCCAAAUGGUGUUUGGGUACAAGAGAGGGAUAACCCCUUUAUCCCCCUUCUUAUAUCCAAUCCAAACACCUCCUUAGAAUUAAAGAUAUCCGUGGACGAGGUCAGAUCUAGAUAGUUGAUAUACUAUACCCGUACCCUAAAAAAAUAUGGAUACGAAAAAAAAAAACUAUACCCUACCCAUUUGACUUCGGAUCGGAUCCGUGUCUAGGUACUUAAAUUACUAAUAUACCCAUCGGGUCUAUUUGAGCGGAUCUAAAUAGUAACUAUCCGUAUACUAUUCGCUUAAAAUCAAAUACGGCUCGGAUUUAGAUCGAGUACGGAUACCCAUAUACAUAUAUUUUUAAUUUAUAAGUCCUAUUGAAAUUGAUUCCUCAACUUCAAAUUUUUUUAUUUACUAUCGGGUAUUUCACUGGUUCCAAAUCUGAAUCUGGUUCCGGGUCCGAAUUUGAAAUAUCUUCCGGACCCUACUCAUUAAAAGGUUGGGUUCGGGUCCGAUCAAAGUCGGGUAUGGAUAUAAACUAUCCGGAUCCAUACCCGGAACUUAAAUGAAUAUUUUUUUACCUAUAUACCAUCCAUUUUUUAUCAGGUCCGAUUCGGAUCCGAGUAGGGUCUAAAUAGGAUACAGUAUAUCGAAUAUUUUGGACAGCUUUACUUAGGAUUGAGAUAAAUACACUAGCCAACAAUAUAUAUUUUGCUUUAGACUUUUAAUUGAAAUGCUAAAAUACAAAAUCCUUUUGUAAGUACCUAAUUUUUCACCUUUUUUAUUUUAAAAAAUCGACAAUUUAGUCUCUCNAACAAUUAAUAAAAAUAAUUUAUUAUAAUAAAUUUAUAAUUUUUUUAAAAUUAUACUUAAACUUAAAUUUAAUAAAAAAAUUUAUUAUAAUAUUUAAAUAUAAAUAAUAUGUAUUAAUAUAGUACAAUUAAUGAUUUUAUAAUAAAAAUAAUGUAUUAUAAUAUAUAACAUAUAAUAUUUAUAUAAUUUAGUUUUAAUUCAAUUUAUAAUUUUAAAUAAGUUUGAAAUUAAGUAUUGGAAUAGCACUAGCAAAUCCUUGCUAUUCCGGAAUAACCGGAAAUAGCAAGGUUUGACCGGGAUAAAAUAUUCCGGUCAAAUUUUAUCCCGUUUGGCGGAAUAGCAGGGAUAAUUUUCGUUAUCCCCGUAUCACAAAUAUGUUUCUUCAAAAAAUAUAACAGUAUAAUAUAAGAGAGAUAAAGUUGUCAAAAACUAAACAAGAUUAAGUAUUUAAUCCAUGGUUAACUAAAUUUUUCUAACAAAUUUUAACGACAGUGAUAUAUUUCUAAAUAUCAGAAUUUUUGUAAGAAUCAUAUAUAAAAAUUAAAUUUUAUAGAAAUAUAUUUGUUAUUUCCCUGUAUUUAUAGAAAUAUGUAUGGAAUUAAUCCUAAAAAUUAUUAUUAUUAAACACCACCUCAUUCUCCUCUCUUUCUACUCUGGCGUAGAAAUCUCCAUAGACUCGAAUCCCAACAAUAACGGCGCUUCCUUAUCCCUAGCGGUAAUCUCACUCUUACUCUCACCGCCCCAGCUGUACUCCCCAUCCAAGGCGGUGACCACACCGCACCCCACCCCACCCGCCUAUAUAUAUGUGUAUGUAUGUACACGCCGCAUUUGUACCCUGUGAUCUGGUUCUCCGACGACGACGACGACGACGACGACGACGACGACGACGACGAAACCCUAGCGAGCUCCGACAAUGGCGACAUUGCUCCCUCUCCUCUUCCUACUACUACUAUCGCCCGAUCUCCUCUCCUUCGCGCAGAUCUCGCUCCCUCCCUCCGCCGAAGCCCCUUCCCUUUCCCUCCCCCCGUCCGCGUCGGCCCCUUUCUCACACCUCUCGCCCCCCUCGCCGCUUCCACACUCGCCCUACUCAUCCCCCGCGCCGUCUCCGACACCGCCGGGGCCAUCGCCUUCCCCAUCGCCGGCGCCGGGGCGGGAGGAGAUCAAGGCCGGGGGAGGCGGCGGCGAGGCGGAUCAGGGGGAGGACGACAAGGGGGGAGGAGGAGGAGAGGAGCGCAAGGGGAUGAGCGCGGGGAGGAAGGCGGGGAUCGUGGUGGGGGUGGCGGCGGCGGCGGCGGCGGUGGGGCUCGGCGCCGCCGUGUACAAGAAGCGCCGGGACAACAUCCGACGUUCCCGCUAUGGCGGCGGCGGCGGCGGCGGCGAGUACUACGGAGGUAGGGUUGAGAUGAUUUGAUCUCCUCCUCUUCGCCUUCGUGUUCUUCGUCUUCGUCUUCGAUCUCGGUCGCAUAGGUUUUUGUUAUGCGUUCGUUCGUCUGCUCGUUUUCGGAUCUUUUCUACUGGGAGUGGACGAUGAGAAAAAAAAAAAAGGUACGCUUAUUUAAUAUUUUCAUCGAAAUUAUUUUUGAUUCGUUAGCUAUUACUUGAGAUGUGGUGUAGUGAAAGUGGAAUUUAUAGGGUUUAUUACUAUUGUUAUUAUUAUUAUUUUGGCAUAUGAAUUUGAAAUUUCGUUGGGAUCAGUUUAGAUCUGAAUGGUGGAUUACAAUUAUACAGGUUCUUAAUUGUGACGAGUUAUUCCUUUUUGUUAUAUAUUUACUUAAAAAAGAAAAAAAACAGAAUGAGUUAUUAUGCGCUCCCUUUGAAUGAUGUGAAUGCAAGGUGGGCGGAUUAUUAGGCACGUGAGACGCAUGUUAGGGGAAUGUGGAAAUGCUUUGUGUGUGAGUGUGUUUGGGUGUGAUUUGUUCAUCAGUUUUUCAUUUUCAUCCCCACUUGUUUAGUGGUGUUAUUAUUUUAUUAUUAUAAUAAUAAUUAGGAUAGAUUGUUGUUUUGGUCUUCAAACUUUGAAAUGAGUAAUAACUUUGUUUUCAAACUUUAAUUUUUUUGUUAUAAUUUUUAUUUAAAAAUUUUAAAUUAUUAUAAUUAAAUUUUAUAAUUUAACUUAGUUGACUAUAUAUUAAUUUUUUUCCAACAAAUUAAAGCUUACAUGUCGAAAUGUCGCUCACCCUAAGGAUUGAGGACGAAAAAGUAUUAUUAUUAUUAUUGCUGUAACUUAUUUUGCUCGUACCGUUCAGAAAAACUUUGGUUUACGAGGGAACUCAUCUAAAUUAAGAUAGUUUGAUUAAUAUUAUAAUAUAUCAGAUAAAGCAAUUUACUUCAAUCAAUUGGAUGAACUGUUCAUCAUCUGGGUACCAACUGUAGCAAUAGAUACUGCAUUUUAUUCAAUUUAUUUUAGAAAGCAUAAGUUUGUAAUUGGGUUGAAUUGUCGGGUUUGGGACUUAAUCCGACCCAAUUUACAACCCUACUUGGACCAUAAGUAAACCCUCUUCUCUUUGAGUGUACGUGUUAGCUAACCCAUCAACCGAAGUGAAAUAGUGUGCAUUAGAUUUGGGUUGGGUCUCACCAUAAAUUAAUAAUAGAAUCAUGGACCUCUGAUCGAAGAGUUACAGGUGCAUUCCAUUAAAUUUGGUAGGUAUUUGUUGAUUGAAUUUGAUUAUUUUCAGCGAAUGCGAUUCUUUACUAAUUUGUUUGGCGUUACCUUUUUUAUAUUAUUAUAUAAUAUAUUUCUAUUCUUCCAAUGAGUUCUACAUUUUGCAUAGAUCACUUUAGUCACUCUAAUUGUUCAGAUUGCUAAUUAAAAAAGAUCUUAAAACUAUUAGGACGUCACAUAUUCUUCCGUUAGGAUUUCUUCGUCAAUCUCAAUCAUGCAUGUACUUUAGGAUUACAAUAAUAAGAUUUGGAACUAUGACAUUACAUGCGAUUUACUUUAUGCCACUCGGUUAGUUUCAAUCACGCAUAUAGUUUAAAAUUAUGAGAUUUAGAAUGAUAUGAUGACAUGAGACCUAAUUCUAUGCGGUUGAUAAUUUAGCUCUGAUAUCAAAUAUGUCGAUCCAGUAACUAACUUAAUUCUAAUAGCCUAUUGAAAUAAUUAAGCCAGAUUAUUAAAUCCAAGUCAGGUGCUGGAAUACUUAACCAAGCGUUGCGAGAUGUGAGAUGUUCACUCGGUGCCAAACAAUGUCUCUUUCUUCUGUCCAAGAUGGUAUUUUAUGGUCAUGAAGCAUUUGGUUAGAAAAUAGGGAUAGAAAUAGUCCCUUAUCCCUCUUUAAUAUCCAAACGUUAAUUUUUUAUUCGAGAAUAAUAAUUCUCGGUUAUCCUCACCAACACCUUUAUUUUCUAUAUAAAACUAUCUAAAAUUAUUUUUAUCCCCGGAAACAAUCCAAUUUUCAUUCAAACACUAUUUUUCUUAUCCCUAUACUUGUAUCUAUCCCUAUAAUAGCUAGUUCUUACUUAUGCCUGAACCAAACGGUAAAUGGCAGUGUACCCUUAAUUCAACCCAACAAAAAAAAAAAAAAAAAGGUGUGGAAAAAUAACUAUUUUUUGAAGUUCAAAAGAGUCCACUUGUUUACACCCGUUAGCCUAGUUGAUCCACCAUGUGCGCGUGUUUUCAGAAAUUUAAUCUUUGAAAAAAGCGUAUGAACAAUAGCUCAUUUUCCUUGUACCUAACAAAUUGCUAAACCAUUUUUUUCUUUUUUCUUUUCUUUUUUUCAUCUAGUGUUAUAAACUAUUGCAUUAUGCAUGGUGACUAACCAAAUUAUAGCACAUUUUAAAAUGGCCGGGCAAGUAUACAAUUUUGUAUGAGCAUUCUCUUAAUUAAUUUUUAAUUUUCCGAAGAAAUAUAUGGAAUUCACUAACUCAAACUGUGAGUCUAAUUAUUUUUUAGCAAUUUAUUGGACCUUCCAUUGCACCAAAGAGUUGAAAUAGAUUAAAGUGGCAGAGCACGUUUCUUCCAACGAACUCGACAAAAUGAGGGAUUGAGAGUGGAGUAAAUUCCGGGAUUGCUUCUAUCAAACCGCUGCUAUUCAGUACAAACCUGACCAUGGACCUGUUUGUUUGUUUGGACUUCAGAGGUUAAACUCGUGAUUUUGAAAAAGUCACAGAUAUUGGUGUUUGUUUCGGUACCGAAGUUGCAAGAUCACUCCCACUCCCCGAUGGGUCAUUCAACUUCAGUAGCAUUGGCGGCGUGGGGAAGGCGAUUUCACGUGAGUCGCAAAUUCCUCGCUCUCCGACAAUCCACUUCCAAAAGGCCUCUUAAACUUGCCAACAAGUCCCAGGAAAAGCCUAAGACUAUAUUUUAGAUCAUCUAUAUACAGAUUAACAACUAACUAAGAUGGUCAGCUUCUUGAACCUAAUUCGAAUGAUCAAUUCACUGGUUGGUGCAUACCGGACAUUAAAGCUUGCGAUUGCGAAGUCUUGCUACGUGUAUUGGAUCGUCCCAAGAACAAAAGAUAUUAGUUGAGCUAUCGAGCUCAGGCGCCAACCAACUGUAGUUUAGCUGGUUAAAGACUUAAUUUGAAACUGAUCUGCUUUUAUUGUUUUUAAAGGCCCAAAAAUCCCAAAAUUUUGAAGUGUUUUUAAUCUUCUAUCCUCCAAUGCAUAAAGAUUAGCUACACAUGCCUAGAUACGGAGGUCUAGUAAAGGGCCUAGAGAAAAACUCAUAUUUAUUGCAUAAAGAUAUUACCUACAUAUGCCUAGAUAUGGAUUCGGAUUGGUUUAGAUGUUAAGACUAGAGAGAGUAAUGUUGAAGAGAGAGUUUAGCUACUCAAUAGGUAUUAGGGUCAUGAGGAAUGGUACGAUUAUUGUUUCGGAUCAUUGGUGCUAAUCAUUAAUUACAAAAAUCCGAGCUGUUAGAAAAAUGCAACCAAUUCAAAGCAUACAGAUACAACAUCCAAAAAUCUCGAUUAUGAUUCGGCCAAAUAAGUCUCCUGCCACUUCGAACAUGACUUGGCCCAAUCCGACCAGCCACCAUUUCCAACAUGAUUCGAACUAUAACUCAGUCUCCCGUUAUAGGGCAGGAUGUUGGCCCUUUUAAGUCAACAGAUUGAAUUUAACGAACGAGAUUUUCCAGUAUAAUCGCAACCUCUCAGGCGGGAUUUGAUAAUUCGACCCAACAAGAUCAUCUGAUCUACCCGAUUCAUUUCCCAAACUCUCACGAGCCCCAACACCUCUGAAUCGCUAACCCCUCAUCCAACAUCGCUCAACACGGUUUUAUCCAAUCCAAUCUAAUCCCAAGAGUAAGACCCUCUAUUAUAAACUGCAGCGACAAUGGCAUACGCAUGUAGAGAGCAAAUUUUUAUGCAUAAACAUCAUCUGUGCCUUACUGCUCUAAUUCAUAAAUCGGAGAAUCAUUUGAGUUAUUCGUGACUCGGAAUAAAUAAAUUUUACGUAUAUCUAUUCUCGAAACAGAUCAACUAGCAAGGACGGAGGAAUAACUCUUAGGAAACAAGAAAAAAGCCGCAGUUUUACCUCUCAAGAAGCAUGACCAUCUCGCAGUGAGGAGUGUGAGGGAACAAAUCGACGGCCAUCGCCCUAACAGGCUGGAAUGGCUCGGAAUUAGGCAUGGAUUUUGUACGGUACCUAGCGAGACCGGCACUGCUCAUGUUCCGCCACCCUCUAUUGCCUUUCUUCUUCUCCGGUCUGUCGGCAGUUGGCGUGCAAAGCUCGAUUGCGUUCGCCACCAAGCUCUCCGGAUUGCACGAAAUAUACCUAGUGAAGGAGAAAAAUAGAAAUGUCAAAAAAAGUAUCUUUGAAAUACAUUAUCAACAAAAGUCUUAUACAUGACUAUGGAAAACUAUAAAUUUCUUCUUAGGGAGCUAAGAUGUGGCGCUUACACAAGUCGCCGAAUACGUGGAUGAGUCCUAAGAGCUUUGAUCACCUGGAAAUCAUUGGAAGUGUGAUAUUAAUAUUACCCGAACAUGCCAAUGUGCAAAAUGAAAUACUCGCUGACAAUGAGCAACUUUAAUUCCUUCGUUAAUCAUAAACAGAAGAUUUUUACAAUAAAAGAAGCAGAACUGCAACAAAAAGGUGCAACAUGCACAGAGUUACCAAGAAAUUACCACAGGGUGAAGUCCAACUCGUGGAGGAUCAACGAUAGCAACAACUUUCUUGAACUGGCGCACAGAAGAAACAUCUGCCACUCCUUUCUCUUCGGAAACAUUGUUGCGCUCUGAAGUGUUCUCCUGAAUGGUGUUGCCGAGCCCAUUAGUGCAACUUCUCAAGAUUCCAUCAUUAUUUUCAUCAUCUUUUUCAAUAUUCCCAUGACUUUCUUCAGUGCUGUCUUCCAUUUUUUGGUCGUUCUUAUCCUCCAAACUUGCUGGCACAUCCUCACCACUGUUCUCUGUGGCAUUGUUGUCUUUCUCUAUGGUAUCAGUUUCUGAGACAUCAUUAGAAACUAUGCUAUCCUGCUGAGGUGCUCCAAGAUACUCUUUGAGCAGAGACCCCAUCACAUCCUCUGCCUGUUAAUACCCAUCAUGGAAAUAUAAGAUUAUUUCCGCAAUAAAAAGAAUGAAGCUGAAGUACUUUGAGAGAAGAAUACAUCAAAUGCCGUGACGUUGAGAACUAAUCUCUAAGUUUUAACACCACAAAAUCACGAAACAUUUUACUUAUUCCCUCUAUGGGAGCAAAAAGUCUACUUUUAAGUGUUCAAUGACAAACAAAAAUACUCUUGAUUAGGCAUGAAAUGCCUAACAUUGAAUUUGUAAUGCACAAACUUGAAAUUUUACUAACUAGACACAUAAUCACAAGGCAAGCCCAAAAUAUUAGACGUUAGCUAUAAAUAUCACAAUGAAUUCAGUUGCAUUUCUCCAAAUAAUAAUUUGCUUCUGUAUUGGAGUCAUCCGGAAGAUAUUCUUGGUAUUGAUACAAUCAAAUUCUCAAACUCAUGGGCAGACUCAUUAUUUUUACACUAGAUUUCGGAAAUAAAAUCACGUGAACAAGUAAUAUAAACUGCUAGCAGGUGAUAUUAUUGUACUAAAAACAUGUUUGACAACAUAUGGUAAAAUUACAUAUAAGGUUCUCCUUCAUUCUGCUUUCAUGCACAAAUAAAUAUAAACCUAUCUUUGAGUAAUGUUCAAAAAAACAUAUCAACUGACUCUAAUGAAAACGGCUAAUAUGUAUGUACGCCUUUUCCUUUUCCAGUUUUCCUAUUCCAUCAUCUUCCUCAUGCACUUACUUUGAAAGCAUCCAAAAUAACACAGUUCACAACAGCAACUAGAAACUAAGAGAAUGAAUUGUUAUCAUUCUCUCCACAACCGAUACAGCAAAGCAAGUCAAAAGUGAAUCCUUGGGAUUCCAAAAUUAGUAACUUACAUAGCAUCAAACCGAAAAAAAAAAAAGUUGCAGUUAAGGAAAAGAAACUCCUAAGAGUAAAACUCACCUUUCCAGACACAAACCUACAAUUUUUUAUGCCAUUAAUCACUGCAUUUCUCUUUGCAUCUGAUACCGCUGAUUCAUUCAUUUCAAUGCCAACAACCUGCAUACGAAUAGUAGAAAUUUAUCAAUCGGAAUGAACAAUCAAGAACAAAUUACAAGGAAAUCUCACCACCUCUGAGAUCAAUAUUCUAGCUUCAAGAUACAGUUAAGAUAGUAAACAAACUACUAAGGUUAUGCUGCACAAAAUAUGAGGCUCCAUAUUGAGCAGAUGAAAUGAACUGAUCAUUCUACCGAGACAAAUUAGAAAACUACUAUAAUAUUAUUUGUGACAAAUAAACCAGAGGGAAUAUUAGGUUUCUCAUACAUGCAGCAAAAGUACUGCCUAAGGCAGCUUAAAUUAGAACCACAAAAUCACAUUCACAAAACAAAGGGCACCAGAAAAAUGAGUGGUUCCAAUGUAAACAACCGAAUGAUGAAAGUGAAUGAGAUCUUCUAGCUGUGUUGAUAAGAAAGCAAAUACUAAGAAAAGACAAACCUGCAAUUUUAAUCAAAGAUUUAGCCCAGGCCAGAGAGGCUACUUAAAAGUGGGGGAAAGAAAAAUCAAAGAUGAGUACCAUUCCAACACGGUGUGCUAAAGUAAGGCCAAUAGCUCCUGUCCCACAACAUAUGUCAAAGAGCAAUGUAUCCGGACUCAGGUCAGCCCAAUCACCAGCAAGGCUAUACAACCUUUCUGCAGCAAGAGUAUUAACCUGUAGACUUGUGAGUGGAAAAUGCACAUUUUUCUAAUCAAUCAAAAAAAAAAGCGACUCAAAAGAAUAUAGUGGAGUUUCUAACUUGAAAGAAUGCUGUUGGUGAUAUAGAGAAGCGGAGAUUGCUUAUGUAAUCAUGAAUCCUUCCUUCAGCGAUAUCAAGCUUUUCUGAACUAGCUUGUCCUUCCAUUUUUGGCACCAGUAGUGGAAUCAACGGACAAUCAGCUGGUGCGGCAUUUGAUAUUCCUUUGUGAUCCUGCAUGAUAAAUAUUAAGUUCUCAUAGCAGUAUCAAUAAAAAGUAAGACUCAGAAUUAUCCUUCUAACAUUGAAACAAGUCUGAAAACAAAAUGGAGAGAAUUAUUCUUCUAAAAGUGAGAGCCCACCUGCACAAUUAUGGUUGUUAGAGGUAGUGGAGGAGCUGAUGCAGCUGCUCCGUGUACAAGAGCCAUGGACAACUUGGCAAAUUCAUUUUUCAUCACAUCUUCAUCAACUUCCGUGGAACAGACCUGCAUAACAGUAGUAACAUAAAUUCAUAAUGCAAGAUAAAAUGACUAAACAUGUUCCAAAGUUGAGGCCUUUAAAAGUUUAUUUUAUUUUACAUUACUGAAUUGUGUUUUUCUUUAUCAGAGAAUACAUAGAAUUUUCUGCCUCCAACGAAUUACUUGAGAAAAAAAUUUUGAUACAUUAAUGGAGAGAUUUGUACAUGUAUAUAGUGCAAUGUGCGGAAAAACAAUACCUAAACUGUACAAAUUUGAGCUUUUCCAGUAAGAUGAGUUAACCUGAAUGAUAAGCAUGACUUCUGCUAUUUGGAUCUCGGCAUUUUCAGCAGUAGCAAGUUGACCAGGAACCCUUCCCUCUCGGACCUAAUUAGGAACUCCAAGAGAAUAAGAAUCUGCAAUCUCAUCUCAAAAAGAUGUAAAUAAUUAUGCACUUCCAAACUGUAGAAAAGCAUACCGUAAAUUGACGCCAAAAACCAGUGUUAUCGGUUCUGCUCCACACAGGUAAGGCGGAGGACUGCAGGAAAUCUUGAAAGAUUGAAGCAUACUUUGAGGAAACUCUAGACACAUUUGGGCAGUUCACAGGUUCCUCGAUUGCUGUCAUACCCUCCCUUCAGUCACAUGGUAACUUAAUACCUAUUAGUAACUAUACAAGACUAUUGCUUCACAUGAAACAGGGAAAAAGGUGAUAAAGUGACCUGAAAUUUCCAAGCAUAAACCCCACUGUUCGUUUGCCCUCUAAUGAAUAACCCACAGAAAACUCACAUUUGUUGCGGUAUCCGUUUAUCACCGGUGACUCUAGUAUGCCUUCAAGCUUGCAUGGAAGGCCACCUAGAUGAUUGAAAAAGGCUAUUUACUCCAAUGUUAUGUGACAUGGGUAAUAAAGAAAAUAGAACAAUUUCAGUUGUGCAAUAUGACCAGAUGUAGUAAAUAUUCAACUUUGAAACGCGUCACCCUACCGCAGAAAUGUUGUGUAAUGACAAUAAUAUGCAAAUAUCAAACAAAUGCAAAGUUGUUUUACCACAUACAUACAUGAAAAUUUAUUAAGACAAUUUAUCUAAUAAUUAUUAUUAAAUGAUCUGCCACUUAUGGACGCCUAUGUAGAUUUUUUAUGUAGAAAAAUGCCCACAUUGUAUUCAUGAAGAGGAUAUAUGCCAAGACGAUACAUCGAGUCAAUGGACAUUACCUAUCUCCCUAGAUUUAAUAAUCCAAUCCGGAAGUGGAACACCAUCUGGACAAGCCUUCCGAGCAUUCCGAGUCUACAAUGAAAUGGAAAACCAAGAAACUCAUAGCCACACAAGCAUUAAGAUAUAUUCAAGAAUUGUGAAAUAAAAUAUGAGGCAUAUUAUAGAUUACAUAGUUUUUACACAACAUAAUCCACAUCCAAAAGACACGAAACUAUCUCACCAGUCGCUUUAGGAUUUGGAGCAACGAAUUCUUUUUGUGCUCCAACUGAUCACUGUAGGGCAUAUGAGCAAGUGGAGUGACCACAUCACGGGCACUUUUUGUUCUCGAAGACAAACCUUCCACGGCAGAAGUUUCUUCAUUGUCACUUCCCGACUGAUUAUCAGCAUGCUGCCCUUUGUUUUGAUGAGAUUUACGGAUGGCAUCUGCAACCUUUAUUUCCUUUCCACCAUUGGACUUCUCAUUCAAAAUCUACAAAUAAUUCAAAAGUGAAAGAAAAUUACAGACUUUCCACAAAUCCUCAACCUGUCCAUUAAGUACAAAAGACUACCUCAAUAGUGCUUUUGAGCUGUUCAGUAUUCUCAAAGGUCACAAAACCAACAGACAUUCCCUUCUUCUUUUUCAUUGUCUUAUACGAAAUUCCCUGAAAAAAGUAGUAAGCUUUGGUCACAAUCCCAUAUAAAUAUGGAAAGCUUGAGCUUGUUGAAGUUGUGAUAAAUAAAGGCCUAUGGCAAUGUUAUAUCAAAGUAUGAUUCUAUGAUCAAUCUCGAAGACAGUAGAGAUUCCUAGAUAAGAUAAUAACAGAAGAUAAGUAAGAUCUACUUAUACUGACAUAACAAAGAGACUAUGACAUAGCAGGCUAAAGCUGUUUCCUAAAACUGAAUACACUGUAAGACAUGAAACUAUCCUAAAACUGUUUUCCUUCAUUUUUUGUUUGUACUGAAAUUGAACUAUCAUCAACUGUUAAACCUAAACUUGCAAAAUGAAACACUUUCUAGGUUUUUCUUAUUUUACUCAUCAUCUUACCAGUUUCUAGCUUUGCCAAUUCCGUCGAUUUCAAUGGAUUUGGAAGCAUUUGUGGCAUUUCACAUAAUACGUCCAAAACCCACCAUUCAUAAUAUUGAAUUUGGUGAAAUUUCACUUGCUCUUUAGUUAUUAAUAUCCUUAGUCGAAAAAUGCUUCUUCAUAGAAUAAUUCUAUUAGUUCUGUCACUAUUUAAUGAACAACAGAUAUGUUAGGAAAAAGUAGACAUAUUGAAAUGAUUUCCCAUCCCUUCCAAUUGAAUCAAAUUGAGAUAUUUCGAACCGAAAUCAAUAGAAUUCUCUUCAUAUUUGAUUCCAAGGAGCCGAUUUUCCACUUGCCUGAUCAUCAAGGAACCUCUUCAACCCCUCGGAGUUCCACUUCCUCGGGAGGCCGAUGAGGCACUUGUCGAGCGACGCCUCGUCCACCGUCGGCGCCUCCUCGCCUUUCUCCUCAUCAGCUUCUUGGCGCGGAGGGAGGUGGGAUCCCAGGUGUUGUCGGGGCGGGGACGGAGCUCGGCCUCGCUGUGCGCGUAGCGGCACGCGUCGCCGUGGCUACAUCCGCGGCCACCGCCGCCGCCGCCGCCGCCGCUGGGGUUCCGGCGCCGGUAGUACGAGCACAAGCUCGUCUUCCACAAGGGGUUCUUCCUCUUCGUUGUCUCCGCAUCCUCUUCUCCCUCCUCCUCCUCCUCCUCCUCCUCCUCCUCCUCUUCCCUCUUUCGCUUCUCCAAGGAGGAGGUGGGUUCGGCGGCGCCUCCUCUCGCGUGGGCGCCGCAUCGGUCUCCAUGGGAUCGAAGUGUUGGGGUUUUAGGGGCUCUGACGCAAAAUCCCCAAAUCCUAUUUUUUUGGUUAUUACAGGGUCGAACCUGGGUCGAACCUGGUCCCACAACUCAGUAAAUUUAUGCUCUGUUCGUUUAUUGGAAACUAAUUCUCUGAAACCAGAGUUUGGAUAAAAAUUAAUUUUUUACUAUGAUUUGUUUCGUAGAAAGCCAAUAAUAGCUUUAGAACUGUAUUUGUCCUACUUUUUAUAUUUGUUUAAUCAAAAAUUUUCAUAUUAGCAUAUAAAAGUGUGAAAAGAAGUUACAAUAAUUAAUUUUUAAUUUUUUUCUCUUCUUUGCACUUUUUCACUUUGGUACACUGUAAUUUAAAGUGUAUCGAUUUAAUACCCCACAGUUUUAUUUUUCUCUUUUUAUUAUUUUUUAAUUAUUUUUUUAUUAAAUUAGUGAUAAACUUAAAACUAAAAAGUACUUAAAAAAAUAUUUGAUAAAUCUAGGUGGAAUAUCUGAAAUUUUUUGUAUAUAAUUUAACGAAAUAUUAACGAAAGAGCUAACGAAAAGAGAAAAAUAAAAUUACAAGAUACUAAAUUAAUAUACUUUAAACUAUAUGAUACUGAAAUGAAAAAGUACGAAAUUACAUGGAUGGUAUUUAAAAUUUGCCCUAAAUUUUAUUUAUGACGAAGCCAACAAUAAAAGUAGGCAUUUUAGGCAUUUUGGCUCGAUUGGUUAGAGAUUUAAUGCCCUUUACUUGUACUUACUAUUAGAUUAUCCUUUCUCUUCGUCAGAUUAUCCUUAAGAAGCAGCCACACAAAUAUCGUCAUCUUCACUGAAACUACGAGUUUUCAUAUCUGGAUGAGAGAUAACUGGUACUUCUUAUUUCACAGAUUGCACAAUUUCAAUCAUCACCUAACAUACUUAUUCCUCAUAAAUAAUACACUUUAAUUUGCAUUCUCAUAUCUAGAAAAUACACUUUGCUCCCACUGUUUGGUUAACUCGAUCACAAGCAUGCCGCUUCGAUCGCGAGGCUCUUCGUGACCCCUCUACACGGAUCUCCAAACAUCUCGGUCGACACUCCGACGCUACAACUCCUCGCUCCAAGACAAGCCUACAAAGAUAUUUCACAAACCAAACUUAAGAACAAAGAAUUUUACUUUCAUUUGCCAAAUGCCUAACUUCUACUGUUGCAGAUACAAUACAUAUAUAUAUAAUAUAUAUGUACCUCUUGAACGACGGCAAGGGUGGUAGAACUACUGCAUUCGCCGUGGCUGUAACUUCCGCAUGCACCAUUCGGGGUCCCGAAGCUUGCAAACUUGAUUGCGGAGAUGACCUGGUUCGGGUUCGGGCACUCCAAUCGGACCAUCGGACCGGGCCUCCCCAUCUUCUUUUCUGGAGUCAUAAAAGCAUCUACUGGGGCUGGAUGUAGCUCGGAAACAUGUGCACACAAACUCCCACUCUGCUUAACCGCGAAAGAUAUUUUAGUCGGGUCCCCGCCAACCUCCUCGAAAAGAACCAAAUCAUUGCUUCCCGAUCGGAGAAACGACCGAGGAACGUGAUACCUGCUUAUAUAUGUUUUGUUCACAUUAAUUUAGCUCAUUUCAUGUGUUCUGAUUACAAAUUUUUGUUCUUAAGUUGGACCGGCGAUUUCAAUUUCAUCCCUAAACUUCAGCAGCAGUUGAAAUUUUCCCGAGAGUUUCAACUUAACAAAGGGAAGUCCAUGACUGGCGCAUUUCAUUUGGUAGGGUAAAAGAGAGUACUUAAUUAUUUCGCUGAACAAAUUUCGAGGAUGAAACUACUAUGUUGGAACUAAGAAAUUGACAUCCAGGUUAAACUUACAGAGAGUAAAUUCGCGAUAAACCCUGAAAACAGAAGAUCGACAGAUAAUAGAAAUUCUUACAUAGUUUGAGAAGGUUUCCCGCAGUUCUUGAGGCAUUUGCCAGAAUUGUAGGUUCCUUUGUAGCUGCAAGAGGUGACGCAACCGUUCGGCGGAGCGAGGUAAGUGGGCCAAAACCGGCCAAUACUCUGCCCGUUCACCCAUGCCUCUCCUUUCCCCAUGCCCGUAAAGUCUAUCGCGACCGGGCCAUCACCCUCUGGGGCAGCAAACUUUGUCUGCGUCAUUGGAAGGACGUGAUAAGUUCGUCGAUUAUGUAUCAUAAUCUUGUUAGUCUAGAGUAUAAAAUAACUUUAAACAACAAAUGUGGGAGGACGGUAGAGACGCCAAACACCGACCUUGUACCAUAUCAGAGGUUGAUUCAUCGGCAAGGUAGAAUCUGAGACCCAUUCAGAAGAAUCAUCAGAAUUCUCAUAUAGCUGCGAGUCUUCCCCUUUAAGUCCAAUCUGCAUAAGUAAAAGUAAACCGUGAAUUCAAGAAUAAUCUUAACAAUAGAGACAUAAGCUAAAUAGACCGGCAUAUUACGAAAUUAUUUGCGUAAGUAACCCACUUAAUUCGGAAACAAGGUGAUGGAACUGUUAUUAAUGUACUAUUGAACAACCUGGUAUGUCCACAGUUUUGAAGAUAAAUCUAAUGUGCCAUUUGGUCCGCUCAACUUUACCGGACCGGUAACUCCAGCACCCGAUAAAUCAAAGAAUGCCCCAUAAUUCUGAAAAAUAUAAAGAACAAAACGAAUUCAAAGAGAAGAUUAGUAAAAAAAAAAAAAAGCGAAAUAAAUAGGGGGGGAAAAAUGAUUCCUUUGAAGGGAGGUUAAGAAGAACCUGUAGACCAACAGUGGCGCUUAAAAGAUCCAUAGUGUUCUUUCCUGGUGCGAGCGUAAUAAGCUUCUGUACUGCAACUGCUGCAUUGCUACUGCUUCCCAUCCCACUAGCUGAAUAAACGUUACAACAAUGAAAUUUUAGAUGCUAAAGUUCAAACAAUAAAAUGCAAACCUUUUUCAGUUUUUCGUCUCAGAUUCAAUUUAUUCAGUUCAACAUGAAACGCAUUACCUGACAAUUUUCCGUUGACAAAAACUCGAAGGACGUGACCAAGUGAGUUCACGAGGAGAUUAGAUUGAGUUCCAUUUAAAAGAAACGGCUCAUUGCCGGUGAUCUCAAUGCUGCAAGAAUACCAUUAAAACCCAUUGAGUAGUCAAUGUUAAUCCGAGGAUAAGCAUUCCACGUAAACACGAUGACGACACAAGAAAACUAGUAAAGAAUAAUCCUCUUCACCUUGUUGAAUACCAUAGAUAAUCACUCGCAUCUGCAGUAGUAUUUAUUUGCUCUAGCAAUCCAGUUUUUGUGAAGGCAUCGGCCUUUGAGAUACCAACAGGUUCUAUUACAUAGCUCCAUUGUGAUUGUGGUGUCCCAGAGGAAUCAAGAGAAUCGUCAGAGGUUUGAUUGUAGGAAUUUAGAUACCUCAUCUCCGCAGAAGAGGUUUGGGAGUUUAUCUGCAGAAAAACAAAUUUGAUCAGUUCAAGGCGUGAAAUACUGCCUUUUGUUUAUGUCGUGAAACAGAAAGUUUCCAGAAAAAAAGUAUUGAGAUAAAAACAUGAAUAGAUGUUCAGCAGAAAGCACAAAGUACCACCUCACUUGGACGUCUGCUACGACACUCUACAAGUGCGAGCAUAAACAUGAAUAGUUAUUGAACAAUUCAAAUUACAAUAUAAUACCUGAGCGGUAUUGAAUACGACAUUCUGGCAGUCGGGUAAGAUGCUCACAGACCACGCAGGUAGAUGAUAUGACUUCCCGUUAAAAGUAACAGUUGCAUCAGAUUGGCUGUCGAUAUUCGCAAGAAAUGCUGUGCAAGCCCCUGCUGUCUUAUACACAUGAGCCUAAAGAAGAAAAUAAAUAAAGAAGAAGAAUUAAAAAUAAGAGAAAUCAUAACCGUUAUGUUCAAAAAUGCACCUAGAAAAAACAAAUAUAUAUAAAAGGAGUCAUAAAACAAGACAAUUAGACACCAAUUUCCUGCCUAUAGUAUCGUAAUUCUUUGGACUAUGAUGAUAUUCAAAAUGAAAAUGCAGUAAAAUGAACUAAAGCAUGCUAAAUGUCAUGCACGCAAACCAGUGUUUUGAGACACUGGUAAUAAUAGUGAGACAAGUACUAAAUUCAAAGGAAAAAAUUAACAAAGGAAAAAGAUUUUCCAAAUUGUCAAAUAAACAUACUUUUGAAAUUAAAUUAUCACUUUGUUCUAGUCUGUAAGAGUAUGGUUAUGAAAUACUGCAUUUUAACUACUACCUGUAAUAACAAAUCCAGUACAAACCAUCCAUAUUUUUUUAUCUUUGAGCCAGCCAAAGAUAUUACAAUUAGCACAUGAGUACAAAUUAUACGAAAAUCAAUGAAAAUAUAAAAAAAUUGUACAAAUUAUGCAUGAAAAUACAAUAAAAAUAAGGCACUAGUUACCUCCAGGUUUGUACCAAGAGAAGUAUAUGUUGGAUCAGUUGCUAUCAACGCAGCUUCGCAAAGCUUUAUUGAUUUGUGUAGAUCUCGUAAGUGACCCCACUUCGGCUGCCUAAUGAACCCUGCAAUCAAUAAAUGAAGAAAGUGAAAUAAAUGGAGACACAAAACCUUUCUGAAAAAUAUAUGACUUACAGUACCAGCAGGAAAUGUAAGAUAACAAGCUUACCAUACUCGUCUAUCGGAGCAUCAUAGUCAUAACUUGUCGAAAUAAAAGGUCCCCCUGAACUGCGGCCAAAAUUGGUUCCGCCAUGGUACUGACGAAUAGUGGAGAACGUUAUAACAAACAGGGAAAAUCGAACAUCUCUUAGUAUAACAAGGAAUAGAAAUCCUAACAUAGCAAGUUUUAACUACCAACUCAGAAUUGAUACCAUGUAGUAGUUUUGGAAUGUACCACCACGUUCAAAGAAUCGCGCAACAGCAAACGCAAUGUCUUCAACGGGUCUAUAUGGCACUGCACCGCCAAAAGAACGAUACCUAUUUAAACAAGAAAGAAUUAUAAACAACCUUGGCGAUCAUAUAUGAAUAUUGCGCCACUGGAGAUCCUCUGUUUAACAUGCGUGUAUCAAGACCUUAUUAGUAAGCUUCUCUUCGAAGAGAAUUGUUCAAUAUAAGUUGAUUUCCAUCAAACUUAUGCAAUUGGUGUAAAGCCCCUUACCAUCCGGUCCAGUUUUCCGUCCACAUCUUUGGUUUAUUGUUGGAGUUUGGAGUGAACUGAUCACAGUAGAAACCAUUGCAAGUGUUGAUCUGCAGAUUUUGCAUCGUGAUAAACACAGAUUAACAUCAAUAUAUGAACUCACUCCAUCACGAAUGGCAAAUUGCGAAUAGACAAAGAUAGUAAACAAUUUUGAUCAAAUCGGUAAAUAAGCUCGGGACAAAGUUUAUCCUCCUUGUAGCGAAGAUAUGAUCAGACAUGAAGCACUUACAACAGGGUCAGGAGCAUCAGCUUGCUGGCACAUUACCCAGGGAACGCCCGUGUCGAGUGACACAGCCAUCGAUGCAGCCCAGUUGAUGUACGUCUUUGCUGCAGGUCCAUAAGCCGAGUCGAUGUUUCCAUAUUCAUUUUCGAUCUAAAAACAAGUUGAGGACGCGCGAAAACAUUAUUUACAUCUGAGAAGCAACAGUAUAAGAUUUUCAACGAAGAUGAGAACUUUGAAGAGUAACCAAACCUGGGACAAGAUGAUGGGUCCGCCUUGCGAUGCAUAAAGGUUCUCCUGCUUCAUCAUAUCGACGAUCUUUGCCGUGAAUCUUUGCAUCUCUGCCUAGAAACAAAGAAGACCCAAAUAAGCUAAGAAUUUUGGUUUUUUUAAAAAAAAAAAUUUGUAAAACACAGGGUUAGAAUUAAAUAAAUGAACCUUGAAAGGCUCGUUGUCGGUCCUAAACUUGAUACCAGGGAUGAAAUGUAGCCAAACUGGGAAUCCCCUGCACCAAAUUAUAAACAAAUUAGAGAUAACAAAUUCACACAAAGAAAACAUACAAAAUUAUCAAAUUGGGUGAGAAAUUUAAUCUCACCCAUAAUUCCACUCGGCGCAGACAUACGGGCCAAUGCGGAGAUGAACAUAGAGUCCGGCCGCCGCGACCGUCUUUACGAACUUCACCAGGUCCUUUCUCCCCUCAAAAUCAUACUAUAUCCAUGCCGAAUUUCGUUAGAAAGUAACAUACAAAGAGAAUUGGAUUAACAUGACCAAAAAAUGUAAAGGGUCUCUAUAAUGAGAAUCAUGCCUGGUUUCUAACAGGUUCAUGAAGAUCCCAGAAAACAUAAGUCUCGAUAACGUCGAGCCCGCCGUCCUUCGAUUUCUGUAUCAGGUCCGGCCACAUCUGCACUCAACCAAUUUCCCCAUUCCACCAUUAGCAACUACACUCCACAACAGUAUAAAUUGGCUCUUUUAUCCCUAACAGGGACUAAGACUAUCACUGAGCCAUUUUGUUAUCUAAGGUCGUAGGUUCAAUUCCCCAUAUACAUACACUACUUAAUGACUUACGUCUGUCUAUCUGUCUGUCUAUCUGUACACGUGACAUAAUUUAUUUUAUGACGGUACGAAAAGUAUUUUUUGAGCCGUUUUCUAUUAGAUUGAUCUGAAAAGACACCUCACCUCGGGGGUGCUGCGAGGGUAGUGGAUGGAGCCGGAGACGAGGACGCGGCGGGCGCCGUCGAUGAGGAUGGCGCGGUGAUCGUAGCCGACGACGGCGGCGGCGCCUGCAGCGAUCUCCGAAUCGGAGAAUCUGAUCAAGAAGAGAAGCAAGAAGAGGAGCAUUCUUGAGGCUGCUGGUGCUGCUGCCCCAAUAGGAAUGUCGGUUGGCAAAAGUGGCAAAAGUAGCAAAAGAUGGGGAGAUGGGGUGGGUUUAGCUCAAAAAAUUGUGCUGUGCUUUUUCUCAACGCAUGGGGGGUGGGGGGGGGAUAGGGGAUUAGUUGUGUGCGUGCUGUGUAGUAGUAGUAAUUGUACUAGUAGAGGAAAAGGGAUGCUUCUACUUAUAUAUAUAAUAAUUCAAGAAGAGUGAGUCAUCUCUUUUACCACAAACUUUAAUUUUUUCCCUUUUUUUUUUUUGUUUUUGGGGUUUCUUGUGGGGAGGAGGGAAAGGAGUAUGGUGGUGUUGGAAGCGAGAGAGAGGAGUGAAGCAAAUUAAUGGUGGUGGAGUGGAAGGAAAAAUCAAUUGCAUUAAUUAAUUAAUUAAAAAUUAUUUUUUUUUUGCAAGAUUUGUAUUGUAUUUUUAUUUAUUAUUUUAAUGAAGUGGGGAAAGGGUUGAGCUGCGGCGUUUGUCCUUUAAAUUUGUUUGUUGUGUGUUCAUAAUUGAGCUACGUAACAUUGAUGGCGGGAGGAAAUUAAUUAAGAUUUUCUCUAAUAAACAUAAUUGGGUAUAAUUGUACGGAGACACCCCUCAAUUGUUAGCGAUUUUGAAAUAGAUCCUUACGCUUUUUUUUUCUUUUUUUUUUUUCACCCUUUAGGAGAGUGGAAAAGAUUUCUAGUAAAUUUGCAUAUUUAAAAUAAUAGAGUAAUUAAACUCAUAAAUAUUAAGCCUAGGAAAGGAAAAGAAAAUAUAGAAAACAUAUAAAACAAAAGUAAUUACUUACAGACUAUCCUAGAGCAAGUGGCAAAGUGCUUAAUGGUUGGUACCCGAGGUUUCAAAUUGGAAUAGCUAAGUUUAUUUCUAAAUUAAAUAAACGAAGUGGAUAGCAUGCUAUCUAUCUCUCUAAAAAAAAAAAGCUAUUCAGUAAGUUUCGUCUCUGCUACCGCACUAUCAUUACCUUAAUCACCAUGCAACGCGAUGAUAAGUCGAAUUUGGUGCCCAAAAGAGAUGGAAGAGGAGCUAUUUUUAGAUUUGUUAAAGUUAACAACUUUAUUAGUUGAUAAGAAAAAGUCAAAGAAAAAACUAAAACACAGUAAGACUCGAUUUGAAACUACGGAGAGAUUACAUUACAUAUUGUGAGAAAAUACAAUAUAAGAUUAUAUUAUUUCUGUAUGUAAUAUUGUUAUUCAUAUAUCGCAAUAAGUCAGUUACGAUAUAAUUUUUAUAAUUUUACUGAAAAAUAAAAAAAAAUAUUUUUAUAUGUUUUCGUUUCGGUACUAUUGUGCUAUUAGAAUUAGAAGGACCUCAAUACUAAUGAUUUUCUUACUAAAAAUAAUGGAGGAGGAAUCAUGUGUGUCUCAUUUAGUUAGUGCUUUUAAUUCAAACAUUCUUAGUUCUUCUUACGAAAAAUAAAUAAAUACAAAAAUUAUCCAGAGGUGCCACGUGGCUGCCGGACACUGCAUUUAUAGGUAUAGAUUAUUGUAGUUAUAGAUAUAGGUUCAAGGAGGAGAUCUUUAUAAAUAUGAAUUUAUUUCGAGUUAAAGUUUCCAUUCCCAAAGUGGAACGCACAACAACUUUUCCAACCCCUCACCUGCAUUACGUCAGAGAACCAAACACCAUGAUUCGUAGGAUACAAAAUGUCAAAAAAGAUAUCAAAAGAAAUGUGAAGGGAAAGAAAAAACGAAAAAAAAAAAAAAAAAAAAAGCACACCUACACACAAUGAUUACACUAGUGACACCAAACACCAGGACUAUGAUCCCAUCCAUAUUAUUUAAUAAAAUAUAUAUUAUUAUUUUUUGAUAGUUUAGAUGGUAGGGAGAAAUAUCUCGUAGAUACUUUUAUAAGUCUGGCAUAUUUAUACCUUAUUUAUAUCCAAUAUAAAGACGUCAUGAACAUACGUUUGGCAGAGACUAUAGCUCAUCUUAUUAAAAAAUAUAAAUUUUUCUUUUUUUUCAUGCAGAUGUAAUGUAAGAUGUAAAUAUUUUGACUUUUUGACUAUUGUUGAAAUAUAUUUUUUAUAUAUAAUAAUAUAUAUUUAUAUAUUAAUAAUAUUAUAUUUUAUUUGUGAUGUUUAUGUCGUAUUUGUAUCCUAAUUUUUCGAAAGCUGUCGGAUUGUUUUGACUGAAUCGUGUCGUGUUUCGUAUUUUGUAUUUGUAUCUGCGGCAUUUAGUUAGUGAGUAUUUUUUCAGUUGUUGAACCCUAGCCUCCGUUUGGUUGGGGGUUAAGGGGUGGAAUAACUCCUUAACCCUCAUUUUAUCCCCAAAUAUUUUUAAAAAUGGGUGGGGUUAGCUAAUCCCAUCUCAAAUGAGUUAUCCCGGAUUAGCUAACCCCACCUAACCCCACCAAAUCUCAAUCAAAUAUUAUUUUCUAUUUAUAAUAAUUUACUAUCCUUCUUAUCCCACCUAUUCCAACCAAAUACUAUUUUUUACUAUCCUGGACUAACUCCAAUUCCCAACCAAACACAAAAAUAUUCUAACCCCACCUUAACCCUAAAUUUAACAAUAUUUCUGGAAUAACUAAUUUUUUCUUAACCCUGCACCAAACGGUAAAAUUUUUCUCUUUAAAUUGAAAAUGUGCUCUACUGGCUAUUUAUUAAAGAGAGGACCAUACUGUGUGAAGUUGGUUGGGAAGUAAGGAAAGAUCUACUAUUAUUUAAGUGUCAAAUUUUAAAUAUAAUAAAUAAAUAAUUAGAUAUUAAUUCUGAAAUAAAAAUAUUUUAUUUAUUAAUAAAUCUCAAAAUAUUGUACAAACUAUAUAAUUUAAUAGAUGGAUUUCGACAUUAAAAUUAUUAGUCAUGUUUACCUUCCCGUGAUUUACAUCUUUUCACUGAUUAAAUACUACAACACAUAGGGGUGUAAACGAGCCGAACAUGAGCUGGCUCAUUAAAGUAUCGAGUUGAAAAAUUGCUCAUGUUCGGCUCGUUAAUAAACGAAUCGAACACGAGCUGGCUCACGAGCUGGCCAAUGAAUAAUAAGUUAAAAAGAUUAAAUUGAAUAUAUAUAAAAAAUAAAUUUAUAAAAUUUUAUCCAUUAGACUUUGAUCUAACAGUUGAAACUUUACAUAUAAAUAAGUCUUUUUAUAAUUAAGCUCGCCUUUAUAUUUUUAUUUUGCUAAAAAUUAAAUAAUAAAAAUAUAUAUUAUAUAUAUAAUUAUUAUUUAUAUAUAAAUAUAAAUUAAAUAAAUUAUAUAAAUAUAAAAUAUAUGUAUUCGAGCUGUUAUCGAGUCGAACACGAGCGAACUGGAUUGCCACCUCUAACAACACAUGCUAAUUUAUAAAAUAUUACAAAAUUUAUUUAUAAAUAUAGUAUUAAUUUUUAUUCAUAUAUUUAUUUAUUUAUUUGUCAAUUGUAAUGAAUGGAAAUUUUCUCCAAGUGGAAAGUGAUACGCACGGUACGAUACAUUGUAUACACCGUGGCAUCACCAUCACAAAGUAAUUGUAAGUUAGCAAAACUUUUACUUCGUUGCUCACCAUUUGAACAUCAAAAUCUAGCUUGGAAAAAAGUGAACAAUAUGAUUAAUGAUUAAAAAAUUAAGUAAAAAGAAAAUUUUGUUGUCAUUUUUUUAUCGAGAUUUAAGUCUGCAAAUUCAAUCCGACGGAUAUAGUUUUGUCACAUAUAUUAAAGAUCUUAAAUACAUGAAAAUAUGAAUACGCUAAUACAUCACCUAUGCCGAUCAUCGAUCGCAGACUCUUUGUGGCAAAAUAAAAGCAUUAAUUUCACACAGAAUUGCUUACAAAUAAAAGCAUUUCACAAGCAUAACAAUUAUAGUGUUUAGAUUCAUAAAUUUAAUUCUAAAAGAGCCACGUAAACAUAUCGACUACUGCAGUUAAAACUACUCUUAUUUAUUAUUUCUCAUUACUGUAGCCAAAGAUUUAAAUGUUUAAAAAAUAAUUAUUAAUAUUAGUGUGCUGAAUUAUUAUAUUUUGUAUCAGAAUCGAACAUCAGAUCGUCGAUAACGAUCAAACGUCGUAUGCGUCCCCGUUGAUUUGGCGAGAACGUCAGGGUCUUAUACGGAGAACUUAAGGUAUUGUUUGAUUCGGGGAUAAGCAAAAAGUGGUUAUUCUAGGGAUAGGUAUAAAUUAAGGUAUAAGCGGGGAUUAGAUCAAUUUUGUGUUUGGAUGAAAAUUGAGUUAUUCCUGAAAAUAAGAAAAAUAGCGUUUGGUUAGGUAAGAUGGAAUAAGAAGGAUAGUGGGUAGUUAUAAAUAAAAAAUAAUGAUAUUACCCUCUCUUUAUAUUUGAAUUUAAAUUUUUAAAUUUUAAAUUUUAAAUUUAUGUUUUUAAUUUAAAUUUUUAACUUUUAAAUUUCAAAAUUUUAAAUGAAAAUUUAAAUUUUAAAUUUCAAACUUUAAAUUUAAGAUCAAAUUUAAAUUUGAAAAAUAUAAAAUAUAAAAUAUUAAAAAUUUAAAAUAUCAAAAUUUAAAUUUAAAAUUUAAAAUUUGGAAUUUAGAAUUAUGAACUUUAAUUUUGAGAUUACAAAUUUUAAAUUUUAAAAAUUUAAAUUUUAAAUUUAAAUAUUUAUAUUUUAAAUUUUUUAAAUAAGAAUAGGGUGGGAACAAUUAAUAAAAAUAAUUUAUUAUAAUAAAAUUAUAAAUUUGAUAAAAAUAAAUAUUUUAAUAAAUUUAUAAAUUUUUUAUUAUUAAUAAAUUUAUAAUUUUUUUAAAAUUUCUACUUAAACUUAAAUUUAAUAAAAAUAAUUUAUUAUAAUAUUUAAAUAUAAUUUAUUAUAAAAUUUAUUAUAAUAUUUAAAUAUAAAUAAUAUUAUUAAUAUAGUACAAUUAAUAAUUUUAUAACAAAAAAAUGUAUUAUAAUAUAUAACAUAUUAUAUUUAUAUAAUUUAGUUUUAAUUCAAUUCAUAAUUUUAAUUAAGUUUGAAAUUAAAUAUUGGAAUAGCACUAUUCCAUCAAAAUGGUGGAAUAGUAAAUUCUAUGCUAUUGCGGAAUAGUCGGAAAUAGUAAGAUUUGACCGGGAUAAAAUAUUCCGGCCAAAAAUUAUUUUGUUUGGCGGAAUAGCAGGGAUAACUUCCGUUAUCCCUGCUUAUACCGCCAACCAAACGGAGCCUUAAGCCCUUGUUUGGUUGGGGGUUAAGGGGUGGAAUAACUCCUUAACCCUCAUUUUAUCCCCAAACACCCCAAAAAAUAAGUGGGGUUAGCUAACCCACCUAACCCCAUCAAACUCCAACCAAACACUAUAUUCUAUUCAUAAUAACCCACUAUCUUUUUUAUCACACCUACACAAACCAAUCAUUAUCCUUCUUUAUCAAUCAUUAUCUUUUUAUCCCACCUACCCAAUCAAACACUAUUUUUUAUUAUUCUAGACUAACUCCAACCCCCAACCAAACACAAAAAAAUUUUAAUCCCACUUUAAUCCUGAAUUUAACUCUGUCCCUAGAAUAGCUAUUUUUUUUUUAACCCCGAAUCAAACGGAGGCUAAGUGUCUGCCAUGGAUAAGCUAUAAGUAGUAGCUCCUUGAGUGUGGUUUUUGCAUUGUGUGGUACACGUGUAUUGCCGUGUGAGACUAGUUUGCGUGGAAUGGGGGAUGUUUUUGGCACCCGCGUGCCGAGGCCUCCACGUUGUACGCCCUUGUCGACUUGUUUUUCUUGGUCUCUUAUCGUACGUCACGUGGACAUGAGUCACAUGAAGUAGGAUCCAACAAAGGUCAAAAAAAUAAAAAUAAAAAUAAAAUGCAAAAUAUUAAAUUAAAUAAAUAAAAAUAAAAUACAAAGUAUUAAAUUAAAUAAAUUAUGAUAGUGAGAAAGGAAAAGGAGAACUCGGUUCUUGGUGUGCAGGGAUUGGGUGCGCCAACUCCGUUACGAUUAUGAGUGCGUCCAAAAAGUAUUCAAACGUGUGCACACUUCAUUUAGGUUUAAGGUGUAUUUGGUUUGAUGUAAAAGAGGAUGAAAAAAAAAUUUUCAGCGGAAAUAUAGCUUGCGGCUCGUUUGGAUCAACGUAAAAAUUUUUUCUGUAUAAAAUAGUUUUACAUAUUUGGAUGAAAAUUCUCUCUUUUAUUUUUCGAAAAAAAUAAUUUUUUCUUCAUAGUUUUACGUGAAACCAAACACACUCUCAGUUUGACAUUAAGAUCCAUCUGUUAGAUAAAACGGAGUUAGGGGUAAAAGUAUAUAGGGAUAUGUUUCUGUGUUCUCCGAUCGGACCGCAGAAAAUAUAUCAUAAUCGACUUAUCACGAUAUGUGGAACAAAAUAUGGUAUUUUUUUUAUCGUACUUUCUCACUGCACUUAACGUAAUUUUUCCGCAAUCUCAAAGGAAACCUUAGUCCCAUUCUAUUUUCCAUUUUGAUUUUGACGUGGACUCGAGAAAGCAAAAGAAACAAACGAAUGCACCGCUUACACAUAUUCGUUUAAAAUUUAGAUUGAAGUAGUUGUUUAGAUAAAUUACAGUUUAGAUUAAAAUUACUGUUUUUUCUUUUUUGUUUUUUUCUAUGUCGUGGUAUUGAAGUUUUUUUAAUUUUAUUGUUUGUUUGGCAGAAUAUGAAUGACAUAAAAAUUAAAUUUUUUAUUCUGGGUUGAAGUCAAUUACAAUAUUAUGGAGAGCUUGAGCACAUUUGUUUAAAAAUUCAAAUUGAAGAAGAUUUUUAGAUAAAUUAGAAUUUAAAUUUAAAUUACUUUUAUUAACUUAGCUAGAAAUAUGAAUCAACUAGGAUUCGAACAUGGGUCUCGGAUACCAACUACCAAACCCUUUGCCACUUAGGACCGUCAGUAUUAUUAUUAUUAUUAUUAUUAUUAUUGCAACAAAUAUUUUGCAUGAAUUGUACAUUUGAUUUAUUUUAUUAAUAUAUUUAUAUUAUUAAAUAUCUAACUAAAGAUAAUAUGAUAAAUACAUUGUCGCUAUCUAGGAUACUACUCUAGUGUUAUGUUAGUGCACGCAUAGAAAUAGAUGAAUUUAUAAAUAAUAAAAUGAAAAGGGUCCACCACUUAUUAUUCUACUCAUACAAUAAUUGUAGUGAGACAAAAAUAAAUAGACCAUGUAUCAUUUUUGCAUCUAUAGGUCUUGAUAUGGGCCCAAACCACUUUGUAGUUUAAGGGGUGUUUAGAUUCACGUAAUCACGUAAUCCUCGUAUAAUAGUAAACCAAAUUUAGUAAAAAUAAAACAUAUUAGUUUUGUCAUCGAUCGGGACGCACCAAGAAGAUUCGUUGUAGGUUGUUGUGAGCUUAGCUCCUGAAAAUAGCCUUUUUCUUAAAGAGUUCUAAAAUCAUCUUUUGUCGAAAAAAUAAACAAUAUAGCCUAAUAAGGCUAUUAUUAUUGGAUUAUUUCUAAUCUGAUCAAUUAGCAAGGUAUAACAAGGUUUUAGAGCCACUUCUACACCCAUUAUGUUGCAAGAUGAUUUAUGUUGAAUUCCCGAAUAUGCAAUUGGUUGCCACUUCUGUUAAUUCACGUGAACAACACGUCUGAUCUCCAUAAUGUACGUAAAUAAGAGUGCUAAGAAUAUUCAUAAUUAUUUAAAAUUAGAUCGAUUUUUUAAGUAGUAUUGUAUUAGAGUUGGACCUAAGCUCCACGACAUUCUAUGGUCAACAACGAAAUUAAUAUUUAUAUUCUAAACUUUGGUUGCAGUCAAAUUACAAUUACGUCAAUCCAAAUGCACGCCCCUUAUUUUGUGAGGCCAUACUUUUGCCGCGCAUUGGGGCAUUGCUUUGAGGCCUCAUGCAUUGUUUAUAAGGCUUGGACCAACCAUAUGACUAAGGUUAAUUAGUUAAAUUUAGGCCCAGUACAAUAGCAUCGAUCCACUGGAUCUAAGGGUUUAUAAAAAUUCUCUAAGUUUUAAGUACUUAAAAAAAAUUGAUAUGACGAAACGAGAGAUCCGAGAGCUUUUGGAAGGAUAAACUGUAAAAUUGACACCUAUAUAAAGUAAGUGUACAGAUAGUAUUGCUUUUUAAAAUCUUAGAAUAAGUUUAUUUUUCCGGAAUCGGAAGAGACCGGAGCUUUCCCAUUCUGACCGUGCACCAGAUCUUAACUUUACCCGCUACAAGGGACGAAAUCGCGAUUCGUCAUAGUGUAGUUUUGUAAGUUCUCUCACUAUUUGAUGAAGAGGACGCGUCACCGUACAAUGUCGUGGAGCAGCUACCGUUUGAUUUCACUUAAGUUGGAUGAUCCCGACCGCACAUCUUCUUUAACUACUUUAACUGCCAAUGUCCUCCGACUACACUUUUUUUUUUCAACUUAUUUACACUUUUGCCACCCACCCUAGCUAUGUAGAGGAUUAAUUUCUCCGUUGUAUCCGAUACCUAUUUCUCAGUGUGGAUGAACUGGAUAUACCAAGUGACACCCUUGGAGACGUUCGUAGUAUUUGGACCAAAUUAGCCGCCUUUUUGUUUGAAUCGUCGCGAACGCGAGAACUAACCCUUCUGGCUGCGAUCUGGUGGGUGGUCUGGAGGGGUAGAAACAACUCCGUUUUCCAGACAAUUCCGCCUGAUGCGAGUCGCUCUCUCGAACGUAUUAAACUCUUUUGACCAACUGGACCGUGCUGACCUGAAGCGACACUAGACUUACUCCUUUUUUUCUAACCUUCCCCUCUCACCUCCUUUCCCCUUUUUGGCCUUUUGUCUGUUAUUUUUGCAUUUUCGGAGACCUAAGCUGCUUCCAUCUCUGUACGCUUAGUUCAUUUUACUUAAUGAAUGAAGCUGGUAACUUGCUACCUUAUUUCUCAAAAAAAUAGAGACCGAGUUGAAAAUAACCUUUAGUUGAAUAAAAGUUUAGAUUAAAAUUAGGUUUAAUUAUAUAUAAAAACUCCUGCAAGUCGCUCCAUAUCUUAAACAUCCCCAUACAGAAAAAACUUAAACAAUGUUUCACCUGCAAUUAGCCCGGUGCCUCAUUAUUAUUUAUUUUAUUAUUAUUAUUAUUUCGAAUUUGAGAUUUGAAAUAAAAAAUCUAUAAUUGAACUGCAAAUUCGAAUCCAAAAUCUGAAUUUAGAGUUAAAGCUAAAUCCAAAUUUUGAAUUUGAAUUUGAAAUUAUUAAAUCUUCAUUAGAAAUUGAAAUCUGAAUUGAAAAAAAAUCAUUCAAUCUCCUCUUACAGUAUCUUCCAUGAGGAGCUCCCUAUAGAUUUUUAGUUUGCUCUAGGUGGCCCAGAGUAUUUCUCAAAACCAUAUCAAAAGAACCUGUUAAAAAAAAAAAAAGAAGGAAAAAAGACCUCUGUGAUGUUGCAAAUUGGUACUUCUUAUUUCAUAAAGUACACAAAUUCAAUCAUUGUAUUAUACACUUUAAAUUGUAUGCACAUAUCUAGAAAAUACACUUUGCUCUCGCUGUUUGGUAACUUGAUCACAAGCAUGCCACUUCAACCGCGAGGCUCUUCGUGACCCCUCUACACGGGUCUCCGAACAUCUCAGUCGACACUCUGAUGCUACAACUCCUCGCUCCGAUACAAGCCUACAAAGAUAUUUCACAAAUCAAAAUUAAGAACAAAGAAUUUUCUUUUAUUCACCAAACGCCUAACUAGCGCUGCAGAUACAAUACAGAUAUGUCAUUUGUGUACCUCUUGAACAACGGUAAGGGCAGUAGAACUAUUGCAUUUGCCGUGGCUAUAGCUUCCACAUGCGCCAUGCGGGGUCCCGAAGCUUGCAAACUUGAUUUUGGAGAUGAGUUGGUUCGCGCUUGGGCACUCCAAUCGGAGCAUCGGCCCAGACUUCCCCCUCUUUUGUGUAGUGAUAAAAGCAUCUAGUGGGGCUGGAUGUAGCUCUGAAACAUGUGCACACAAACUCCCAAUCUCCCUAACCGCGAAAGACAUUUUAGUCGGGUCCCCGCCAACCUCCUCAAAAAGAACCAAAUCGUUGCUACCCCAUCGGAGAAACGACCGAGGAACAUGAUACCUGUUUAUAUAUGUUUCGUUCACAUAUAUAUUUAAUGUGAAAUUGAAAUCCAGGUUAAAGUUACAGAGAAUAAAUUUGUGAUAGACACUAAAAACAAACAAAUGGUAGAAAUUCUUACAGAAUUUGAGAUGGUUUCCCACAGUUCUUGAGGCAUUUGUCAGAACUGAAGGAUCCUUUAUAGCUGCAAAAGGUGACACAACCAUUCUGCGGAGCUUGGUAAGUGGGCCAAAACCGGCCGAUACUCUGCCCGUUCACCCACCCCUCUCCUUUCCCCAUGCCCGUAAAGUUUAUCGCGAUUGGGCCGUCGCCCUCUGGUGCAGCAAAUUUUGUCUGCACCAUUAAAAGAACGCGAUGAGUUCGUCGACUAUGUAUCAUAAUCUUGUUAGUCUAGAGUAUAAAAUAAGUUUAACCAACAAAUGCGAGAGGACGGUGGAAACGUCAAACUCUGACCUUGUACCAUAUCAGAGGUUGAUUCGUCGGCAAGGUAGAAUCUGAGACCCAUUCAGAAGAAUCAUCAGAAGUCUCAUAUAGCCGCGAGUCUUCCCCUUUAAGUCCAAUCUGCAUAAGUAAAAGUAAACCGUAAAUUCAAGAAUAAUCUUAACAUUGGUGAGCUGAAUAUUACGAAAUUAUUCGCGUAAAUAACCAAUUUAGUUCAGGAACAAGGUUAUGGAACUGUUAUUGACGUACUAUUGAACAACCUGGUAUGUCCACGGUUUUGAAGAUAAAUCUAAUGUGCCAUUUGGUCCGUUCAGCUUUACUGGACCGGUAACUCCGGCACCCCAUAAAUCAAAGAAUGGGCCAUAAUCCUGGAAAUAUAAAGAAUGAACAAAAUCAAAGAGAUGAUUAGAUUCACAAUGAUCCACUUACAUAAAUGAUAUACGUGAAAAAUAAAUACUGGGAAAAAAAAAAAGAUUCCUCCAAAAGCAGUGGAAAGAACCUGUAGACCAACAGUUGCGCUUAAAAGAUCUAUAGCGUUCUUUCCUGGGGCGAGCAUAAUAAGCUUCUGCAGUGAAAAUGAUGCAUUGUAACUGUUUCCCAUCCCACUAGCUGAAUAAAUGUUAUAACAUGAAUAUUUUAGAUGCUAAAGUUCAAACAAUAAAACGCAAACUAUAUUUAGUUUUUUGUCUCAGAUUCAGUUUAUUCAGUUCAACAUGAAAUGCAUUACCUGACAAUUUUCCAUUGACAAAAACGCGAAGGACGUGGCCAAGUGAUUUCACAAGGAGAUUAGAUUGAGUUCCAUUUAAAAGAAACGGCUCAUCGCCGGUGAUCUCAAUGCUGCGAGAAGACCAUUAAAACCCGGUGAACAGCUAAUGUUAAUUCGAGGAUAAGCAUACCAUGUAAACAAGGCUAUGAGACAAGAAAACUACUAAAGAAGAAUCGUCUUCACCUUGUUGAAUACCAUAGAUAAUCACUAGCAUCUGCAGUAGUAUUUAUUUGCUCUAGCAAUCCAGUUUUUGUGAAGGCAUCGGCCUUUGAGAUACCGACAGGUUCUAUUGCAUAGCUCCAUUGUGAUUGUGGCAUCUCAGAGGAAUCAAGAGAAUCAUCUGAGGUUUGAUUGUAGGAAUUUAGAUGCCUCAUCUCUGUGGAAGAGGUUUGGGAGUUUAUCUGCAGAAAAUCACCUUUUACUAGAUCAAGAUGUGAAAUAUUACCUUUUAUGAUGUCAUGAAUAUAAAAGUUUCUAGAGAAAUUUUUUUGAGAAUACAGACAUGUACAAAUGCUCAAUAAUAAGAACAAAGUAUACGACUAUCUUGUAUUCUCAGACCUCCUGCAUUGAUACAAUGUUGAAGAAUUCGAAACAGACCAUUUUCCUUCGAAAAGAUAAGCCACCGGAGAACAUUGUUUUUAUAAUUUGUAUGCAACAGAGACAUCCGAACCGAAUUGGCUAAAGAAUAUAGCAUAAGUGCAUAACACAAGGUAUCGUUUUUGAACCGGAAGUAUGAAAAAUCCGUUAAUUACUUCGAUAGACAAACCUGAGCGGUAUUGAAUACAACAUUCCGGCAGUCGGAUAAGAUGCUCACGGACCACGCAGGUAGAUGAUACAACUUCCCAUUAAAAGUAACUGUUGCAUCAUAUUGGUUGUCUCUAUUUGCAAGAAAUGCUGCACAAGCCCCUGCUGUCUUAUACACAGUGGCCUAAAGAAGAAAAUAGAAUCAGAAAAAAAAUAACUUUUAUGUUCAGAAAUGCACCAAUAAAAAAAUAAACACAAAGACUAGGAUUAUGUAUGUUGUAAAACAAGACAAUAAGGCACAAAUUUCCUGCCUAUAUUGUUGUAGUAUUUUGGUCCGUAAUGAUACUCAGAACGAAAAUAUAGUGAAAAUAUAAAAUGUACUAAAUCGUGCAAAAUAUGAAAUAUUUCAUUUUAAGUCCUUCACUAUAAAGCAUCUGCAUAGUGUAAAUUUGAAGCAGCCAAAGAUAACUAUAAUAGCACAUGAGGGGUACAAAUUGUACAGCCAUUGUUGCAAAAUAUGAAAUUUCGUUCAAAUUAUGCAAGAAAGGACAGUAAAAAACAGCAUUAGUUACCUCCAGGUUUGGACCAAGAGAAGAACUAGUUGGAUCAGUUGCGACCAACGCAGCUUCACAAAGCUUUAUUGCUUUGUGUAGAUCUCGCAAGUGACCCCACUUUGGCUGCCUAAUGAACCCUGCAAUCGAUUUACGAAGAAAGUAAAAUCAACUGAGACGCAAAACCUUUCUGAAAAGUGUAUGACUUACAGUACCAACAAGAAAUAUAAGAUAACAAGCUUACCAUACUCGUCUAUCGGAGCAUCAUAGUCAUAACUCGUCGCAAUAAACGGUCCCCCCGAACUGUGGCCAAAAUUGGUUCCGCCGUGGUACUGACGAACAGCGGAGUACAUAUAUAACGAACAGGAAAAUAAGAAGUUAUCAGAAUACAACAAGGUGUAAAAAUCCUAACAAAGCAAGUUCUACAUACUAUUAACAACCGACUCAGAGGUGAUACCACGUAGUAGUUUUGGAAUGUACCACCACGUUGAAAGAAUCGAGCAACAGCAUACGCAAUGUCUUCGACUGGUCUAUAUGGCACCGCACCGCCAAAAGGAAGAAACCUAUUUAAGCAAAAUAUUAUUAUAAACAACCUUGCCAAUCGUAUAUAUGAAUAAUGUGCCACUAGAGAUCCAUUGUUCGAAGAGAAUUGUUCGAUCGAUUAUAGUUGAUUUGCAUCAAACUUAUGUCGAUUGGCAUCCUAAAUAAUACAUAAAAAGUUAUGCAGAUCAGGCAGAGAAGAAUGUAACACCCCUUACCAUCCGGUCCAGUUUUCCGUCCACAUCUUUGGCUUAUUCUUGGAGUUUGGAGCGAACUGGUCGCAGUAGUAAUCAUUGCAAGUGUUGAUCUGCGGAGUUUGCAUGGUGAUAGUCACAGAUAACAUCAACGUAUGAACUCAAUGCACCAUCAAUAACAAUUGCAAAUAGACAAAGAUAGUAAACAAUUUUGAUCAAACUAGUGAAUAAGCUCAGGACAAAGUUCAUCCUUCUAAAAGCAAAGAUAUGAUCAAACAUGAAACACCUACAACAGGGUCGGGAGCAUCGACUUGCUGGCCCAUCACCCAGGGAACGCCGGUGUCGAGUGACACGGCCAUCGACGCCGCCCAGCUGACGUACGACUUCGCCGCAGGUCCAUAAGCCCAAUCGACGUUUCCGUAUUCAUUUUCGAUCUAAAACCAUGUUGUGGACACGCAAAAACAUUAUUUACAUCUGGAAAGCAACAGCAUGAGAUGUUCAACGAAGAUGCGAGCUUUGAAAAGUAACCAAACCUGGGACAAGAUGAUGGGUCCGCCUUGCGAUGCAUAAAGGUUCUCCUGCUUCAUCAUAUCGACGAUCUUUGCCGUGAAUCUUUGCAUCUCCGCCUAGAAACAAAGAAGACCCAAAUAAGCUAAGAAUUUCUUUUUCUUUUUUUUUUAAAAUUGUAAAACACAGGGUUAGAAUUAAAUAAAUGAACCUUGAAAGGCUCGUUGUCGGUUCUAAACUUGAUACCAGGGAUGAAAUGUAGCCUAACUGGGAAUCCCCUGCACCAAAUUAUAAACAAAUUAGAGAUAACAAAUUCACACACUAGCUAAAAGGGAGAAAAAUAAAAAAAGAAGACAUGCAAAAUUAUCAACUUGGGCGAGAAAUUUAAGCCCACCCAUAAUUCCACUCGGCACCGAUAUAUGGGCCAAUGCGGAGAUGAACAUAGAGUCCGGCCUCCGCGACCGUCUUCACGAACUUCACCAGGUCCUUUCUCCCCUCAAAAUCAUACUAUACUCAUCCCGAAUUUGAUCAGAAUGUAAACUACUUUAAGAAGAGGAUUAACAUAACCGAAAAAUAGGCUCUAUAAUUAACUGGAAUCAUGCCUGGUUUCUAACAGGUUCAUGGAGAUUCCAGAAAACGUAAGUCUCAAUAACGUCGAGCCCGCCGUCCUUCGACUUCUGUAUCAGGUCCCGCCACAUCUGCGUCCAACCAAUUUCCCCGUUACUGACAGUCUCUAAAGUAAGUGGCAAAAAUUUGGUAGUUGGUACCCAAGGUCUCAACUCUUAAAUUCGAAUUUUAGUUGAUUUAUAUUUUUAGCUAAGUUUAUUUAUAAAUAAAAUAAACGAAACAGAUAGCAUGUUAUCUAUCUCUAAAAAAAUAAAAAAAAAAACCAAUUUUCCCCUUCCACCAUUAGCAACUAUCAGUUCUCAAUAGUGAAAGUUAGUUCUUCUAUGUAUAAGAAGGACAAAGAGAGCACUAUUAAAACCAUUCCUGAGCCGCUUUCUAGUCCUCUCAAUUUUGAAAGGUUGCGGGUUCAAUUCUCCAUAUACACUACUUAGGAGUAGUUUGGUUCGAUAUAGUUAUAAAAAUAGUAUAGUUUGGAAGUAUAUACAGUUUCAAAUGGUGCAGUCAUAAUUAUGCUUAGUCUGUUUGAUUUUAUAUAGUUACAACUAUUGUGGUUAUAUUUUUUUCUGUUUGAUAAGCUGCAGUCGAGAUUUAUAUUUGUAAAUUCCGUCAAUUUUUAGAUAGAAAGGUGAGAUUACCUCUUCUGAACAUAACAUAGUUUUUUAAUUAUUAAUUAAGGCUUUUAUAUUUAUAUAUUAUAAAAUUAUGCAUGAAUUUAAUGAAUUUUAAAUGAAAACAUAUUAUAGAUUUGGUUAAAAAAAG